ACUGUAUGCCUUGCUAGACUGGAUUUCUUUGUUUUUCAAGUUUGUGUGUGCAUGGUUUUCGGAGUCAACUUAUAAACAACACGUAUAGAAACGUUUGAAAAAGUAUGAGGAGUUGCAAAUUAAAGUAACUUCAACAUUCUUGAGUCGACUUGAUUAGCAAUAUUUUAUGUUUCUAGUUGUCUACAUGCUGCGGUCUCUUGAAUUGUUUGAUAAAUAAGCUUCUUCCGAGCAAUGUCGUUUCUUAUUAAUUGAUUGGUUCGAUUUAGUUUUCUGGUUGUUCCUUUGUUUGAAAGGACUCUAACUGAUUUUGGGAACUCAAUUGUGUUGGGUUUUCUUACUGAAAAAUGUUUGGGGUUUGCAGAAAGACGAACCUAUUAUUCCUAUGGCGUCAACCGUCAAUCCGAACGACGAUGUGGUGAUUCAGAAGGCAAAAUUUGCAGUUGAUAGUUACAAUGGGCAGGCGGGGACCGGUCUGAAAUUCAACAGUGUGGAAUUCGGCUUCUGCUGGAGCGUUUCUGAUGUCACUGACUACCUGCUUGCCAUUAAUACUCAUGAUGAUAAGGGCCCAUAUUGCGACCCAGCAUUGGUUUCUGAUACACUGAAGAGCAAUGCUCACACUUAUGAGCUCAUCUGGUACAAUCAUAAGAAAAAGUAAUCAAGCACUACUCUUGAUCAGCUGAGUGGGGAUCGACGACUUUAAGUACUUUAAUUAUCUAGUGUUUAUGGUGUGGUUUUCAGUUUAUGCAUGGAUGAUGUACUGCUGGCAUGCAAACAUCCUCCCACUGUUGUACUAGUAUGCAAUGUAAGGUGCACUUCUACCAACAAAAAUGCACCGUUAAAUAAAAAAAUCCGUCUGUGUUUGAGUUUGUGUCCUUGUACUAAUAUGUCAAAGGUGCACUUGUACAAACAAAAAUGCACCAUUGAAUAAAUAAAAACAGCUGUACGAGUUUGAGUUUGUAUCUGUGUAUUUUGUUUCUCUGUUACCUGCAAGCAACUAUCAAUCCCUGAGUUUGUAUCUGUGUAUUUUGUUUCUCUGAUAACUAGUUAAGUAUUACUUAAGAUGAAUCCAAACCUUAAAAAGAAAUGAAAGAUUAGUUGAUACAUUGGGAGUAAGACAAGCCGAUGACGUUGUGGUUCUUCUUUGAAGUAUAUUUUGGAUGUUCUUCAUAAAUAUGAAGACUGUUCAGGCCAGCGAGUUAACAAAAAGUUGUUUCUUGACCCAUCAGCGGUUGAAUGUGGCAAGACGACGAGUGAUCAAAAGUGUCACUGGGAAUUCAUAUGCAGGCCAUAGCUAAAUUUCCGUUUUUGGAUCUCUGUACAACUGGUACACGUAAAAUUUGUCAGCUAAACUCCGCCACCAAUUGUUCACGAUAUGCAGGAUGGAUGUUCUGGACAAGAAUAUAAAGAUUAAAAAGGGGACUACGAUUAUCAACAAGAAUAAAAUUGGAUUUAGAAAAAACAUGGUUGAUUACUUGUAUGAUUUGUGUCUAACGAUAAUUACGAAGCAGAAGAAGAAAAAGAAGGGAAAAAAAGGUUGGAUUGUUACACACACACAUGUAUGUGUGUAUAUAUUUAUAUAUGCAAGUAAGAUCACUAUUUUCUGGAUGAGGGCAGUCCAAAAGGGCGGGUCAAAUGGUUGCCUGAAUUUCAUUAGGUACCAGGUGCAGUCUGCAGAUAGGUGGACCAUGGAACCCAUUUAAUUAAUGGGUUUGGUAGGGUUACGUAAACGUCUUUUUAGUCAAUGAAAGCAUGACGAUGACACAUUCAUAAUUUUUGAUUGGGGAAAAUCAUUCAAAACGUUUCUCAUUUUACAAAAUAACUUUUUUCGUUUCUUAUUUUUAAAUAUAUAAUUUUACGUCCCUUAUAAAUUCACAUUAACCAAAUUUGGUCUCUACCUAGAUUUCCGACUAGUUUUUAGCCAGAAUCUACCACGUGACUUGCAUGUGAUCAUUGUUUAAGGACAAAAUUGUCAAAUCAAAUUUUUACAUAAUCUGAUUCAUAGUCCCUCACAUUUUCACAAAAUGAAUUUUUUCAUCCCCAACAUUUUACAAAAUGAAUUGUUUCGUUCCUCAUAUUUCAAAAAAUGAAUUUUUCCAUCGCUCACAUUUUUCAAAAUGAAUUUUUUCAUCUCUCAUUGAUCAUGUAUACGAAUAGCUUUUUUUUCUAUAAACCCACGUAUAUGUUUAUUUGAUUUUAUUUAAACAGUAUGAGUAACAUGUAAUUUAUCUCUAUUGGAUUUCAUCUAAACAGGCUAAUCAUAGCUAUACACAUGCUAUUCAAUCGAUAUAUAUAGGGGUUUAAAACUAAUAAUUUUGUUUGAAACCCACUUAUAUAUUUAUAUGAUUUCAUCAUUUGAACCUAUUCAAUAUUUUUGACCUUUCUCUUUUGGUAAUAAUUUAUUUAUUGAGUUGUAUAAUAAGGUCAUAUAAUUAAUGGGUCCUAACUCGAAUUCUAUAAUUAUGUUAACAAAUUUCAGUUUAAAUCUGAAAUUUCUACUCGACACUUUUAAGACCAACAGUUGAAUUACUUGUAUUGUGAUUGUCUUAAAAUUUGAAAGUGCUAAUCACUUAUUUCUUUUUGUCAUACUUUUCUUUUGUUUACUUUUUCUAUCCAAAUUUAAUUCGAUAUAAACACUUGAUAAUAUUUAGGAUUAAAUGCCAUCUUUAUUUUCAAAUUUCGAGUUAAAGAAAAUGAAUAUACGUGAAAAACUUAAAAUUUUUUUAAACACAUGUAUAUAUCUAUUUAAUUUCACUUGAGCAGUACGAGUAGUGUGUACUAUAUCUCUAUUUGAUUUCGCAUGCUAUUCGUACGGUUCAAGUGAAAUCAAAUAGAUAUAUACAUAGAUUUAAAAAAAAUUAUUCACACAUAUGAUCAAUAAAAGAUGAAAAAAUUCAUUUGGAAAAAUGGGAAGGAUGAAACAAUUCAUUUUGUGAAAUAUAAGGGACGAAAAAUUUUAUUUUAUGAAAUGUGAGGGACUAUGAAUCGAAUUAUAUAAAAUUUGAUUUGACAAUUUUGCCCUUAAAAUAUGAUCACGUGCAAGCUAGGCACGUGGUGAAUUCCGACCAAAAACUAGUCGAAAACCUAAAUAGGGACAAAAUUUCACCAAUGUGAAUUUGUAAGGGACGUAAAAUUAUAUUUUUAAAAGUGAGGGAUGAAAAAAGUUAUUUUACAAAAUGUGAUGGACGUUUUGAACGAUUUUCCCUUUUGGUUACUCUCACUCGACCCGUUUACUUCAGUCGAUGCACAGGCUGCAUUUCUUAGGCAUCCAGCUUAAAACCCCAAAUUAAAAAUUAAUGACCACCUGGUAAUUUCCCCUUGGGUCUCAAUGUAGGUGGGCUUUGGGGAUAUUUUAACUUUUAAUUUUGGAUAUUUUAACAUUUAAUGUCUCCAAAACCCAGCACAGUUGGAAAGAACAUUAAACAUGUAAUUUUGAAGCCUGUAAUUUGACUAUCCAGCAUUUCUUUCACUCCUCACUUUAUUUUCAACACUGCACGAGCUAAUCCAACUUUCUUGCAGUACCCUCUCACCAAUUCAUGCAUUACUAGUGUAUUAUCUGCUAUACUUCUUCCUAUUAUAAAGCACUCUGAUAUUCAUCAAUGAUUCGAGGAAUUAAACUUUCAACCUAUUAGUUAGCAAUGCUAAAUCGCAUUUACAUAGCAAACAACAGCAGGCUGUAGGCUUGAAAUCCCUCAUUUGUGUUGUAUUCCGCAACUUUGGGACCAGUGUAAUUAUAGUACUAUUUAAAGGAUAAUGCAUAUACUUCUUGUCAAAACAAGAUUGAGCAUCUCGAAUUACUUCAUCACCAAUUACAUGCUAAUUCUUCUUUAAAAAAAUUGUGCACUAAAGCCAUCUGGGCUUGGAGCUUUACCGUCCUUCAUAGUAAACAUAGCAUGUUUAAUCUCUUCAGCUGACACACUAGCCUGGAGAAAGUCGAAUUGAUCACUAGUGAUGGUUUUGGCAUUUAUCUGUUGCAGCUUGCCCUUCAAAUCAGGGUACUAAGAGUUAGAUUUACUAAACAGAGUCUGAUAAAAUUCCCCUGCAAUUUCUUUAACUUGCUCAUGGUCCUCAACAACAUCAACUUCAUCAUUUCUAAGAGAGAGUAUCUUAUUCCUGGCAACAUGACCCUUCAUCUUUCUGUAGAAAAAAAGCAGUAUUUUUGAUAGGGUAUGAAUUGCAUUAUCUUUAUAUGUACAAAUUGCUAGUUAACGGUGAUAGUUGAGCUACAACUUGAAUAGAAAUUGUUUAAUUUUGAUCUUAUGUUAUUUUAAUAGGUAGAGAGCUCAAUUGGAAAGAAAAUGGACCAAUCUUGGCAAGACAAUCAAGAAAAGCAGCAAUAAAAGAAGAAGAAGAAUGAACAAACAAGGGUUGCUGGAUUACUAAGGAUCCAUAGGCAAAUCCAUAGCGAUCUGUGCAUGUAUUCUCAAUAACCGGCUCCAGAUGUCAAAAUGGUCUUCACAUUGAACUUCUUCUGGUUGUUAUGGUUUUGAGCUUCACCCAAUGACCGGCCCACGGAAAUUAAUAAAAGACUUUAAUUUAUUAAAAGAAUUUCUAUAUUUCUUUAUUUUUCUCAAUAUCCCAAACAAGAUCUAAUAAUAACAUUAAUUAUUAAUGGAACAAACGAGGGGUUAGGUCUGAGGGUCAAUUGGGCAUGAGAGAGGGGGUUGGUUGUUCUUUGAAAAGAUAUUCAUCAUCUGAUUGAUGAGUCAUAAUAAGACAAUUUGCGGUUAAUAUACUUACUAAGUAGGAAUCUACUACUCUAGGAAUAAAAAUUUGAGUUAUCAAGGUGAGUUUAUGGGCCAAUAAAUAAAAGAUUUUUAUCUUUGUAACCAAUUGCAUUGGGGUGGGACAGUGCAAGAGAUAUCAUACAAAAGAGAUUGAAUCCUCUAAAAAUGCUAUGAAGUGCUCCAAAAUGGUCGAAGUAGUUGAAUAGAAGGAUCGCUAUGACUAUAGCCCUUGGUAAAUUUACCAAAGGCGAAAAUGAUUUAUUUGAUAUUAUGGAUGAUUGGUUACGUAGAGACUGUUUCCUUCUUCAUCUGGAAUUGGUGCCUUCGCGAUUUUUUUCAACUCCAAGAAGUCUAACCCUAUCAUAUUUGGGCUAAAAUUUUAAGAAACUAUAAAUAGGAGUUAUUUAGAUUAUUUUUAGGGGAAGAAACACAUUAGACUAGCAUCAGUUCAUCACAUAAAACUCUUUCUUGGGAGAUCAAGAAUGGGUUCAAGGCACGGGAUCAAAGAGAAAUCGAGACGGAGAUUGGAGCAAGGAAAAUUGAGAAGUUUUCUUUACUUUUAUCUUCAUACUUGUAUUUAGUCUUUGAGUUCUUGAUUUUUAUAAUGAAUAUGAUGAACUAAUUUGUCUCUAGGGUUGGAUUUUAUUAAAAAGUAUUGGUUAUUUAUUUUAGUUAAAUUCUUUACGUUUGCCUUAAUUUAUCUAUUUUGACUUAAUUAUAUGUUAUGCUUGAUCACCAUAGACAUGCUCUUAGAUUUUGUGUUGAACUAAAAAGGGACAUACAACCAUGCAUAAGAUGAAUAAAUAUAUUUAGCCUAAUUAUGAGAAUAGAUUAGAUUUUGUAUAACAUAAUUGAAAUCACCUAAGAUCUUAAAGGGUUUAAUUAAAUAAUUAUGGUCUUGAGAGAGAUGUAAGAUAUAAUUGGGCACAAUUUAGAUGUAUUAAUAGAUAAUAUAAAACACCUUUGCAUGAUACAUUCUUGGCAUGUUAAUAAAUUAGUUGGAUAAUUAAUUCAAAUUCUGGAUCAAAAUCUAAAACUCUAGUCUCUUGCCAAUUAUUUUCUCGCAUCUUUUUUAUUUGACUUGAUCAUUUAUUUUACCUCUUAAUUAGAAAUUAAAUCCUUUAAAUUUAAAUUUCAUUGUCUUCUCAUAAUAAUUAUAGUAGAGAAAACACUCCUAACCUAGGAAAAGUCAAUUCAAAAGGAGAAUGCACGACUGAAGCGAAGAAAUAGCUAGAUCUGAGAUGAUUUUAUUAUACAAUCGAUCCUAUGCAGUAGCACAAAUAGCGGAUCAAUUUUUAUCACCGAAUUGUAGCCACUACACUCUGGGCUUAUCCUUAUAGAACUCCUCUUCAGCGAGAAUCAAUCUUGUGUAUUCCUAGAUAACAACUUUCUCUGCAGCAAUUAACUCCGGAUCAAAAGGUUGCUAUUGCAUAUGCUGCUGCACUAUUAUCAGUUGCCUUUUUUUUUUUUUUGCUUUGAACUCCACCAGAGAUGUGGUUAUAGUCUCUUUUAUUCAGCUCUUGAAGCUUACCCAUAAGCUGUUUUAGUUCAAAACAGAUAAGCUGUAUGGGAUUUAUUAACACUCCAGGAUCAGCUUGCCAAGAAUCCAACAGGACAUCAAAAAACUCAUGCUACAUCCAAAAGCUAAUGAAUUUAAAAAGCUUUGGCCCAAAGUUAACUUGAUCUAGCUAUAUAUUCAGAUUGGUAAUGAAGCGACCAAAAAUUGUUAGUCUUAAUGUUUGGAAAGUGCUACUCUUUCUCAUAUCUAUAGGAUUGCAAAGGAAUAAAGUUAUCUCGGUCAAAACUUGUGUAGGGUAUUUAAAAAUUUAUAAAUGUAAAAUUUGACUACGUAUUGAGUUUAAUUUUGUAUGCCCCAUGCACAUCAAGCUCUAUUCCAUAGUUUGAAAUAUGUCAAUCCCAGACCUCCUUCAUACUUUGGUUUACAAACUUCUGCCCAAAUAACUUUUGCAUGUGUCCUCACUCCUCAGCUCCACUCCAGACCAUAGAAAGGCAUUCAAAAUACUCUCCACCUUUGCAACAGACAACUUGGGGAGGACAAAUAAACAAAAAGGCUAUUAAGUAUAAAUUCAAGUAAAAUGAGCCUUCCUCCAUAAGAGAGUUUCCAAGCUGCCCAACUUUUAAUUAUAGCCCCUAUUUUAUCAAGAAUAGGCUAGCAGUCAAUAGCACUUAGCCUAGUAGAUAUUAAAGGAACACUUAGGUAUCAAACUAGAAAGUGUCCCAAGCGAAUCCCCACAGCUUCAUUCAACUUCACACAUUGCUAGUUAGAUACACCGGCUGCAAAAAUCUCUGAUUUAGCCAGGUUUGGUUGAAGACUCGACAUCUCAGAGAAUUCUUUCAAAGUGGCCUGAAUCCCAUAUCGAUUUUGAGUCUAUUUGUAAGAUUAAUUGGUAUAAAUUGUCCAUUUUAUGUCACUAAUUUGCACCUUAAGUGAUUAAUGGAUUAGUUGUGAUUUUAUCAUUUCACUUGCAAAUUUCUUUGGUUUUGUAGGAAAAAUGAUUAAGCUUAAUUGGACGUGCAAUGAGCUGGGAUGAGAAGCUUGAGGAGUCACAACAAUGGCUAAAAGAAAUGGUGCAAGGAAAGCAUGAAGCUUGGAAGAAAGAAAGAAGGAAACAAAGAAGAAAAAAAACUAGAGAGAAACCGCAGGAGAAUCCGCCUGCGGUUUCUCCCACAGUUUGUGGCCAGUGAAUCAUUUUGUAGCAAAUCAUUUGUUCUGCACAAUCCCUGGGAGAAUCCCUCGAGGGAUUUGAUCCAGGAAUUCAUGGUAGCUGCAACUCACCAACUUGCAUGGUUUUUCUUUCUUUUCUUUUUUUUUUGUGGACAAGACACAAAAAGACAUUUUGUACCAACUUUUGGAGGAUCUAAGAGUUUCUUUUGUUGACUCUUAACAAGGAAGAAACAUGUUAUUGGAGAGGGAGAUUAGUUCUUGACAAGAGAGAGAGCUUUUUCUUCUCUUUUUUUUAGUUUUAGCUUACUGAUAGUUUUAGAUCUAAUUUUCUUUUUAUCUUCAAAAACUUGAAGAACUCUUGAUGAACAAUGUAUUUUUUAUUGCAAUGAAAAUGAUGAAACUUGAAGAUCUUGUUUCUUCACUUGAAUAAGUAUUUCUUUCUCUUUACUCUCUUUGUUGUGCCAUUAAUUCUUAGUUACAUUGAAGACAUGAGUUUUAUUAUUAAAUCUACUAUGUCUAGCUAAAUCUUCUUGUUUUAGGGGUAGAUGAAGCUAUUUGUGCCUUGAUUAUGGUUGAAUAAAGUUGAUUAUUGUUAUAUCUUGUACUUGCUAGUUCAUUUAUUUUUACUUUAACACUUGUAAAUGCUUAAUCACCAUUUACAAACCAUGAUAGUUGUUGUUAAUCUAUGAGAAUAAUUAACAAUGAUGAAAUAGAAUAGGUAAACCUAAUGAGUAGACACACGAAAAUAAUGGUACACUUAGGUGGAUAUUUUUGGCAUUUCUAGAUCUAGAUUAAGUCUUCACUUUAGAUUUCACCAUGAGAGUAAGGAAAGUAUAGUGUUGGCUAAGUUCAGUUCAUUGGCGAGAACGAGUUCUGAAGACUUGAGUGAAAUACAUCCUUAGCAAGACAAAACCAUGAGUGAUAAUUGGCUAUUUCAUCCAUAGUUAGGUACAUUUAGUGGAAUCUAUACCCUAGGACAUUUGUCUUUAGUUGAGUUUCUUCAAGUUGUUAAUUUGCCUUGCAUUAUUUUAGCUUUUGAUGGUUUCACUUAGUUAAAAUUCUUGAGUAGUUUAGAUAAUAAAGUGAGCAAAAAACCUUAGUAGUUGAGAGUGAUUCUCGUGGGAUUCGACCUUAUUUCCUUUGUACUACAAUACACGAUCCGUUAACAAGGGAAUUAGGUUUAAAAAUUAGAGUGCAAGUAUAAAUCUCGUCAAGGAUUUAUGAGAUGGAAUAGCCAUAAUGAACAAAUCAUCAACAAAGGAAAUAUGGUAUGAUUUCAUCUCUGAACAUCUGGGGUGGUAUUCAAACCCCAUCUCUUCAAUGUUUGCAUCCAUAAUCUGAGAAAACGCUUCCAUUACUACCAAGACAAAGGUGAGUAGAUAUAAAAUGUCCUUGCCUCAACCCUCUACAACUUGCAAAUUAGCCAACAAGGAAGCCAUUUAGGUUGAGAGAGAAUCUAGUAGUCAUAGCACAGUUUUUUGCGCAAUAAAUAAGGUAGAGGAGAAGUUCAUAAGUUUGAGAACCGUGAAAAAGAAACAGCCAUCUAACUGUAUCAUAUGCUUUCGUGAUGUCAACUUUCAGAACACAUCUUGCUUUUCUCCCUUUCUUAUGAUAAUUUCUCACCAACUCAUGCAUCAAUAGGACAUUAUCUGAAAUAUUUCAACCUUUUAAAAAGGCACUUUGCCUCUUAGAUAUCAGACCUUCCAAAAUUUGUUUAAAUAAUUCAGUAAGCACCCUAGAAAUUAGAAUAUAUUUCUUAGAGUGCGUUGCAACAAGCAACAAGACCAUAUUCCUUCAUUCCCACGGGUGAAGCUAUCUUGGGAACCAAAGUGAUGAUUGUACUAUUCAAUCCUAUAGCCAUAUGCUGAGUAUGAAAACAGUACUAUAUAGCAUUAAUCAAACCAGCACCUAAUAGUCAUCAAUUUUUAUUGAAAAAAUCCACAGUGAAAGCAUCAGGCUCUGGUGAAGUACCUUCUUUCAUGCUGAAUAAAGCUUGCUGAAUCUCUAAGUCAGUAAUUUUCUGAAUCAACUUUGCCCCUUGCUUUUUGGUUAAUCUAUUUUUAAUAAUCUUGGAUAACCUAUGCUCCAUAGUUUCAGAGAAGGAACCAUGUUUAGAAAAUGAUUACAAAUAAUAUCCAACUACUUCCCUCUUCACAUUUUCACAGUCUGUAAAGCCUUAUAUACUCAGAGUUUGUGAGACUUAAGAUUUUGUUGUGAGAAUGGUAAAUUUUCAACUUUCUAUGGAAAAAUGUGAUAGGGUAUAAAAUGUAGUGUAUUUAUAUGUAUAAGUUGCUAGUUAAUUAUGUUAUUUGAGCUUUAUUUUGAAUGGAAACUACUUUAUUUUGUUAUUAUAUUGGUCUAAUAAGUGAAAAUCUUGACUGGACAGAAAAUAGACAAAAAUAUGGCGAAGAAGCAAUGGAAGAAGAAUACUUGAAGAGUAAGGGGUUUGACUGGAUUGACAUGUUUCAUUAUUUUGGCAAUAACUUGAGUUACACAAAUUGGAUUGAUAUAAUUCUUGAUUCACUUUGAAGUAAGAGAAAGAUCUACAACUUUUAUGAGAUAUCAAAGUCCAGUUCUCAUGUUUUCAUAACAAACAAUCCAAAAUACUAAAAUAUAGUUUUGCUAUGAUGCUCUUCUGAUUAGUUUUCAGUAUUUUAGACAUAUCUUAGUGUCCAGAUCUCCAAAUGAUAUGAUUGUUAUGGCAUGGGAAAGCUAAUUUAAAGGACUACAACUUUCAUGUUUGCAAGAGUUGAUUCAGCCUCUUUGAUCGAGUUUUUUUGGCUUCAAAUAUGAUCCACAUGUAGAUCUAUAGUGAUCCAUUCAUGGCUCUGUUAUAACCGACGCCGACUAUGCAUUCGGUCUUCAGGCCGAGCUUCCUGUAAUCCUAAUGUUCGGUGCCAAACUUUGGGCUGGACUUUAUUGAAAAAAUAUACGAAAAUGUUAUUUUUUAGUUCCAAUAAACCCAAUCCUAUUCCAUUUGAGAUACUACUUUAAGAAACUAUAAAUAAGCGCUAUCGAGGACGUUUUUGGAGGUCAGAAAAUAUUAGGCUACAUUAGUUCAUCCUUUUUACAUCUUCUUUUCUUGAUAGAUCAAGGAUGAAGCGUGGAAGAAUAAAAAAGGAAGAUCAAGACGGGGACCAAAGCAUAGAAAAUUGAGAAGUUUUCUUUACUUUAUCUUCUUGCUUGUAUCUUUUCUUUGAAUUCUUGGUUUUAAUUAUGAAUAUGUUGAGCUCAAUUUUCUAGGCUUAGAGUUUUAUGAAGGAGAUUUGAUUACUUAUCUUAGUUAAAUUCUUUACUUUUGUCUUGAUUUAUUUAUUUUUGAUUUAAUUGCAUGUUUGUGAUUGGCCACGUACUAUAGACAUGCCCUUAAUGCUUGUAUUAAACUAAAAAGGGAUAUACAACCGUGCACUAGAUAAAUUAACAUAUUUAAUCUAAUUAUGAGAGUAGGUUAGCAGUUGUAUGACGUAAUUAUAUCACCUAAGAUCUUAAAGGGUUUAAUUAAAUACUUAUGAUCUCGAGAGAGACAUGCGAUUUAAUUAAGCAUAACUUCUUUUUUUUUUUUUUUUUCACUUUAAUCUUUAUUUAUGAACUGAAAAGAGUACAAAGAGAGACAGCAACCAACUACUGCCUAACAAGCUAAAGAAGCUCUACUCCUACGAAUGUUCGGAACGCCUAACCGAUCAAGAUUAACAUCACCCCUCACCAGGCAAGGCAACUCAGAAAAUGAAACAUAUGUUGAGUUAAACCCAGCGUCCACACCCACAUUGGCCAAUCUAUCCGCAGGCCUAUUCGCUUCCCGAAAGCAAUGAGAAAUCUCUCUAAACAACCCCUUAGCAUUCAACACCUCCUGUAAACCUCGUUGCAACUGCCAUGGACACCUCACCGUUCCCCGAAUAAUCUGAACUAACACCAAUGAAUCUGAUUCGAUGUGCAAAGCACUGUAUCCCCGAUCUACGGCCAACCGAAUCCCAUGAAGAAGCGCCUCCAAUUCCGCCUGCAAACUUGUUAGCUCCCCAAAAAAACAUGAGAACCCUAGCAGAAACCUUCCCUCAUAGUUACGAAUGAUGCCUCCCCCUCCACUCAUGCCAGGAUUACCUCUAGAGCAACCGUCAGAGUUUAGCUUCACCACCGACUGCUUCGGACACCGCCAACGAACAAUUUGCACCUGAUAACGACGUGCCAAACCAGCCACAGAUUCAAAGAAACUCGGCCACCCGCGGCAAGAAGAAACAGUAUUCUUAAACCUAAUCUGGAAUAGGUCUCGCAGAUCACAAAAAAUUCUAUCACUGACUAUAGCAACAGGCAAACUCUGACCCUCGAACACAAACUUAUUCCGCAUUUUCCACAAAUGCCAACAAAUCAAAGACGGCAGCACACGAAAAAGAAACUGAAGAAACGGGUUCCGAGUAGGCUUCAACCACCAACCAAUCACCUUAUGUCGUAUUGUCGAGGAAACCCCAAACCCUCCCACCACCACUUCAAAAGACUCCCAGAUUUGCCGUGGAACCUCCCCAGUGCAGAAAAUAUGAUCCAGAGACUCCUGACAUGGGAAGGAACAACAAAAACAGCGAGACGGCCCGACAACCCCAAGCUUUUGCAACCUAUCCAUCACUGGCAAUCUAGCCCCCAGCAGACGCAGCAUAAAGAAGGACACAUUACUCGGCAAUUCCUGACCCCAGAGCGAGGAGUAUAGACAAGACCUGUUACCAACCUCACGAGCACUUUGGUAGGCCGACGAUAGGGAGAAAUCGCCUGAGGUACUGGGAGACCAGACCAUUCUGUCCGAAUGCGUCUCAGCGGGAGGUUCAACACGCAGGAUCUGCCCCACCCACCAGCUGGGCAGCACAGAGCACAGCCUCUGCACGUUCCACCGACCAUGCUCCACGAAAUCGGAUACUGCAUAUUCCUGGAAAGAGUCGACCUGGCGACAUAAAGGACCUUGUCCUAACCAAUCAUCAUGCCAAAAACUUGCCGAUCCAUUGGACAAGACCCAGCGAAUCUGCUGCUCAGCAACCCCCUGAAUAGAUAUCAAUCUCUUCCAAGUCCAAGAACUCCCCGGCGAGACGUCCGCAGAGCAAGGGUGGAAAUUUGGGCAGUAUUUACAAUGUAAAAACUCAGCCCAUAAAGACUUCCGCAAUCUAAACUGCCACCAAAGUUUCAUCGAGAAAGCGUCGAACACAUCCCUCAACGACCUCAAACCUGCACCUCCCCUGUCAUAUGGCUGACACAACUGCUCCCAUUUGAUCCAGUGAAAACGCAGCCCCCCUUCGGAGGCCCCCCAGAGAAAAUUAGCAAAAGUCUUCUCCAGUAACCCAAAGAUGGCCUUGGGAGGAGUGGAUGCCGCAAGAAUAUGAAGAGGCAUAGAAGAUAGCACACUCCUGAUCAGGACCAGCCUACCACCGUGCGACAAUAACCUCCCCUUCCACGAUAGCACCCUGGCUAGUAUGGAAUCACAAAUUUCCGAAAAAUAACCUUUCUUCCUCCGCCCAACAUAUAAGGGACAACCCAAGUAUUUGACUGGAAACUCCCGCGAGGGGAACCCAGUGAGUUCUCCAAGCAUACGUUUUCUCGCCCUGGGAAACCUGCUAUGGGGCAAAAAACAACUCUUUUGAUGGUUCACCUGCUGACCUGAUACCGAAGAGUAAUCUCCCAGAGCUUUCAUAACCAAACGAACUGACCUCUUCAGCCCACUUGAAAAGAUAACCACAUCAUCGGCAUAAGCCAGGUGCGUAACCUUCGGGCAUCCAUGAGGUACACUAAACGGUGAAAAGAGGGGGGAGGAAAGCAAAGAAUUUAAGAGGCGAGAUAGGACCUCGGCACCAAUCACAAAAAGAGCUGGAGAAAUAAGGUCCCCUUGCCUUAGCCCUCGACUAGAUUGGAAGAAACCUUGAGGAGCACCAUUGACCAUGACCGAGAACCAGACAUUCGAAAUCAACCUCCAAAUCAUAUCAAUCCACCGCUCUCCGAACCCGAACCUACGCAAGACCUGUAACAAAAAAGGCCACGAAACUCUGUCGUAGGCCUUGGCCAUAUCCAACUUCAAAACUACGUUACCCCCACGAUUCGAUUUCCGAAUAUCAGAUAACAACUCCUGGGCCAAUAAAAAAUUUUCGGAUAUCUGCCUUCCCUGAACAAACCCACUCUGUUGCGGGGAGAUAAUACCAGGCAGCACCUUUGAUAGACGGUUGGCCAACAAUUUUGAAAUCACCUUAUUGACAAAGUUACAAAGACUUAUCGGCCGAAAUUGACUAAAAUCUUGCGGGGAGGUUACCUUGGGAAUCAGCACAAUCCACGUCGAAGAAACACUCCGCGGCAACUCAUGCCCACAAAAGAAACUAAACACUGCGUCGCACAAAUCCUUGCCCACCACCUCCCACGCAAAGGUGAAAAAAGUUCCUGUAAAACCAUCUGGCCCACCCGCACUCUCCCCAUCCAUGUUAAACACCACCUCCCUUAUCUCCUCGUGCGAUGGAAACCGCUCCAAAUCAGCAACUUGAACAUCGGACACAACCUUAGGAAUCACAUCCAAAAUCCUCCAUGACCCAGUGGCAGGCUCCUCCGAAAGUAAGGAUUUGAAGAACUCCACCCCCAUGGCAGACACCUGACCUUCAUCCGAUACCCACUCCCCCUGGUCAUUCUUAAUUCGGUGAAUGAUGGACUUAGCUCUUCUCUCCGCCACAAUCGAAUGGAAAUACUUAGAAUUUUUGUCCCCGUCCUUAAGCCAUUUGACCCUUGCCUUUUGCCGCCAAUACCCUUCCUCUCUCACCAGAGAAUUUCUCAGUCUAGCACGAGCCUCCUGGAGUGCCAACCAAUGCGACUGACAAGGCUCAUUUCCAAAAGCGUCCUCUGCAGCUGCUACCUCGCCCUCCGCCCUCUUCACCGCGUCAAAAAUGUUACCGAACUGCUCACGAGACCAAACUUGCAAGUCCCGUUUGACAUUCCUCAGUUUAGCGGUUAAACGACUCAAAGGGCGCCCAGAACAAGGAACUGCCCAACUCCUCCUAAUGACAUCCAACAGCCCAGGCUUCGUCGUCCAAAUAUUCAAAAAUCGAAAAGGUUUAGGCUUGUUAUCUCGCCUCGUCGACGAAGACAUUAGAAGGGGGGCAUGAUCCGAAGGCUCCCUCCCUAGAUGUUGAACCUGAAAUUGCACCCCAGAGAGAAAGGCCGUUUGAUUGACAAACAUUCUGUCCAGGCGCUUCCAGAUACGGGCCAGACCCCCCCUAUUAUUACACCAAGUGAAAGGGCACCCCAGAAAACCAACAUCCGAAACACCCGCCAUCGACAUGAACGUUCUAAGCUCCACCCCUUCGUCAACCCGAAAAGGCAAUCCACCCCUCUUUUCAUCCGCGCUAACAGUAACAUUGAAAUCACCUGCCAACAUCCAAGGGUGCUCCGCCAGGUUUUCCGCUAUCAGAGCUGACCACAGCAAAGCUCGCUCCUGCUCAUUACAUUUUGCAUGGACAAAAGAAAAAUACACUGGAACUGGGAAAAUCGGAGAAAUGAUUUUAAGAGACACGUGCUGGGAGGAUUCUCCCACAAGAGAACAGUCAAAGGAAUUUUUAUAAAAUACCCAAAUAGACCCCUGGUUAUUCAUGAUCCAUCUAUCCAUCCUGAGGCGUGCACUAAACAAAUGAAUGUCGCGUGGUAACGCCUUAGGCUCACAAAUAGCCACUAAAGGAAUUGAAAACUCAUCAAUUAACCGUUUUAACCUACGAAAAUUUGGGGAUCGCGAGAUACCCCGAAUAUUCCAAAAAAGCAGAUUAAUCAUGAGACAAGGAUGCAAAUGAGUUAGAGGAGACUUUCGAUUUAGAACGUAAAGCACGGUCACUCGGGAUUUGGAGCCGAGUACCCCUCGGCUUAGGCUUAUCUACCAAACUAAAAACCUCCCCAUUAUUCACCUGUUCGUGUACCUGCUGAAUUAUAGGAUCAAGAUUAAAAAUGUCAAUCACCAAAGACCCCUCAUCCUGUUGCUUACCUGAUGGUUGCCCGCGCGGCGAUAAGCUCCCUGCACUAACUUCUGCACCAGACAACCCCACAUCACCGACCUCGCUCCCCUCCUCUGACAUGUCCAUCCUCGAACCUGUCUCCGCCAUAGCUGUCGAAGCAACAGCCUGAUCUCCCAGCUGAUUAUCAACCGCACCAGCGAAAUUCCGCUCCUGUUGGAGAACCGACUGCUGGCCACAAAGGUCCUCUCCCCCCUGUUCCUCCACCCGCAAAGGAGCUGCUAAUUCUUGGGGCCCCUCCGCCAACCUAUCCAUCACCACCGACUCCCCAGCGCCGGUCACUACCAGCGACCCUGCCUCCCCGCCAGCAAGCGGCGACGAAAUCUGCCCAGCAGCGCCAAGCACCACUCCCCCCUUCCCCUUCUGCUCCUCCGCUAUCCCCGGCCCCUCCAAAGGCAUUGCCUUCACAGAAUCUUGCGGAACCUCCUGGGUAACCUUUGGACGAAAUUCCAGCCGUGGCCUCCUCUCAUGCCACGCACCUGUGGAAACUUCAGAAACCUUUGCCGCUGGCGGCACCUCGCGGAACUCGGGGUGCUUUACUCUACAUUCGUGUUCGCUAUGCCCCUGUCGAAAACAAUACCCACAGUACUGCGGCAUCCCCUCAGGCUCAAGGGCCUGCCAGAAACCAUCACUCUCCCCCUGCCCAAAACCUACCCAUACUCUCCGUGGCAGUGAUUUCACCAAGUCAACCUCCACACAUACUCUGGCCACGCUCGGACGGGAUAGAGAGCUCGUUGCUGCAUCCAUGAAGAGUGGCCGACCCAGGGGUGAAACAAUAUGGAAAAGGCAUUCCUUAUUGAACAAAUGUAUCGGGAGUUUGGGAAGGGAGAACCAAACAGGAACAAUCGAAGGCUCCUUAUCGACAUGGAAAGAGGGUGUCCAUUUGAAGACCCGCAUCGGAUAACCCAAUAUAUACCAGAUGUGCCGCCCCCAGAUUCUGUGAAAGUCCCGUUCAGUUUGGAGGCGAAUGAUGAUAUGACGAGGAUCCAACAAACCUACCGAAACCGCCGUCAAGUCCAGCGUGUUAAAAAAUUUUCGGAUGUCCUCCAUGGCCGGCCUACCCCUGGAGAACUUCCCUAUUAGAGCAAGGGUAAAAGGCGCUGCAGCCCUAGCCAUGUCAGCCGAGGAGAAAACUACAGCAGGCUCCCCUCUCCUCGUAGUCUUGUCUGCUCGCACGUUCACGCAAGAAGGCUCCCUAGACGAAAAGAGCGAAGAAAAAGAUUUUGCUUGGAAAGAAGGGAAGGAAUCUGGAAGCUUCCCUUCAGCAAGAGGCUGAAGGGUAGCGGUGUCCGCCAUGGCGGCACGCACGGCAGCCAACCAAAGCGCACGGACUUACCCAGAGAGAAAACCUAGAGUGAUGUCACCAUAUAUCUAGCCAACUUGAUACCCUAUUUUAUGACUCUGUUCAUUAAGCAUAACUUAGAUAUAUCCAGAGAUAAUCUAAGGUAUUUGCGUGUAAUACAUUGUUGGCAUGUUGAGAAAAAUAAUGGGAUGAUUAAUUUAAAUUUUGUAUAAAAAUCUAAAACCCUAGACUCUUGCCAACCAUUUUCUCAACUCUAUUUAAUUUGCCUUGAUUAUUUGUUCAUUUUUUUUAGUUAUAGAUUGAAACCCCUAUGAAUUUGAAUUUUAUUAUUUGUCUAGAAUAAUUAAAGUAGAGAAAAUUAACUCGUCCGUAUAGAUUCUAUUUUGGAAUACUAUAGGUAAUUUAUUACUACAAUCGAUCCUAUGUGUUUACAGGAAUUCAUUGAUCAAAAUGCCGUGUUGGCAUCACCCUCUUCCAACCAUUUGACUCUCGAUUUAUCCUUAUAAAAGCUCUCCUCAGCUUGCAUCCUCAUUCAUAGUCUGUAUAUGAUUUUGCUUUCUCAAUAUAAAUUUUGGCCAACACAAUUCCAAAAAGUUCCUAAAUGUCCCCAACACGGUUGGUGAAAAGCCCCAAAAGUCCUUAUAGUUACCUUCUAAACUCGAUGUAAUAUCACUGCAGCUAAGCCUGUAGAGGUUUUAUAAAUAUAUGAUUUUGAGUUUAGCUUAAGUCUAUCAAUAAAACGAUAAAGAAUAUUUUAAAAUCUUUGCUUAUCCUCCUUAUUUUGAACAUUAUAAAUGUUGUUAUUACUUAUUAUGAGUUUACUAUAAAAAUUUAAAGAAGUAAAAAAUUAUAAAUUCCUAAAUUAGUGAACUAAAGAUUCCCUCUUUGAAGAAAAUAAAUUACUGAAGUCCUAUUGCAAGAUUUACCAGAAGAAGAACUCUAACAAGGAGAGUAUAUAUAUGCCGAGUUACUAAAAGCAUAGACAAAUAAAAAAGACACAAGGGUCAGGAAAACAUCUUUGUUUGGAUAUGAAGUUAUUUGCAACAAUAAAAAAAUAAAAAAAAUUAAUUGCAUCAUAAAUACGUUUUCUAAUUAUCUUUUUAUCUUUCUAGCCACCUUUUUAAUCUCAUAUCUAUCAUAUCACAAAGAGUGUUACGAUGUUAUUUCAAAAUAUUAUUCCAAAUAAUUUCCUAUUCGUACGCACUCAAAUAGCUCAAUCUUCAAUAAAUUACGCAUAACCCUAUAUGCAGAUUCCUAGAUUACAACAUAAACCCUAGUUUUAGAUUCUUUCCUUCUUUCAUCCUUUCAAGUUCUUGAGUUGCACCACAUCUUUUAACUACUGCUGUAAUUUCUCAAGCUUCUAAUCAUCGCUUUGUUAGUCCACCAUUUCACUUCCAAUUGAUCUUGUUCAUUUUACCCUACAAAACAAAGAGAUUUUGCGAGUAAAAUGACAAAAUCAUAGUUAAUUCAUCUAUCAACUUAAGGUGCAAAUCAAAGACUAAAAUAAGCAACUUGCACCAUUUAACUUCACAAAUUGACUCAAAAACAAUAUAACGCACCUACAAAAAUAUCCACAACUUGAGCUUAUAUCAGAAACGAACACUUUUUAUACUUCUGGCAUGGUUCUUAUAGAAUGAGUAGCGUAGUUUUGUUAAUUGGCAUGCAUAAUGGCUGUUUUUGAACAUUCGAAUCUACAUUAUCUUCACAAUAGAUUGUCGUAUUUCCAAAAUGAGAAAGCUGCUUUAUUUCAUUCGGUUUAAUACAUUUUUUGAUUGUUGUCAACAAAGUUUUGCAAUUUGGCAUUGAAACACAACUUCUUGACUUUCUCUUGCUUUUAUUGUGUAAAAAUGAUUACAAACCAAUGGAAUUUCCAUUUAAAAAUUUAAUAACCAAUUAAGAAAAUGACUUGCUCUUUUGGUGUAAUUGUUAGUCAUCUUCUUUUACAUCAACUCAUUAAGUAAUACAUCAAAUCAAAUACAAAAUGCAUAAGUUAUUACAUGACUGAAAUUAGCAUAUUCAAGCUGAAAGUUUUUUUUUUUAUUUCAACCCUCCAUCCCAUCCCCAACUGUCAACUUCAUGAUUCAAACUAUAAACCUGAUAGCUCUUAGCCACUGGACCAACCCUACAGAGUGGUAUCAAGCCCGCCAAAAGUUUGAAUGAUGAUAAAAUAAUGACAUAAAAUUAUAGGCCGAGCUAUAAUAAUUAGGCUAGUUGGUGUAUAUUUUCACACUGACCUCAUCAAGGACGUGUAAAAACGUGUUCCAUGCUGGUGGACCAUGAUUUUGGUAAUUAGGUCCGGCAUUGCCACAAAUUAAUUUAUGGUGUAGAGUAUCACAUUCUUAGGCCUAUAAAUACAAGGAGUCUGGUUCUCUGCUACCAAGUUUUCGACAGUCACCAGUUACAAAUAUCUAUUUCCAUUCUUAUUAGUUAGCUAGCUAGUCCUUUAAGAAGAAUAUGGCUGCAGCCAAAUCUGGUACUGGCAGUGGACAGGUGAAUAGUGACUGUAUGCCUUGCUAGACUGGAUUUCUUUGUUUUUCAAGUUUGUGUGUGCAUGGUUUUCGGAGUCAACUUAUAAACAACUCGUAUAGAAACGUUUGAAAAAGUAUGAGGAGUUGCAAAUUAAAGUAAUUUCAACAUUCUUGAGUCGACUUGAUUAGCAAUAUUUUAUGUUUCUAGUUGUCUACAUGCUGCGGUCUCUUGAAUUGUUUGAUAAAUAAGCUUCUUCCGAGCAAUGUCGUUUCUUAUGAAUUGAUUGGUUGGAUUUAGUUUUCUGGUUGCUCCUUUGUUUGAAAGGACUCUAACUGAUUUUGGGAACUCAAUUGUGUUGGGUUUUCUUACUGAAAAAUGUUUGGGGUUUGCAGAAAGACGAACCUAUUAUUCCUGUGGCGUCAACCGUCAAACCGAAAGACGAUAAGGUGAUUGAGAUUGCACAAUUUGCAGUUGUAACGUACAAUAAGCAGGCCGGGACCGAUCUGGUUUUCAUCAAUGUGGAAUUCGGCUUCUGGUGGAGCAUUUCUGGUGCCACUUACUACAUGCUUGCCAUUAAAGCUCAGGAUGAUAAGGGCACAUAUUGCGACGUAGCGUUGGUUGCUGAUAUACUGGAGAGCGGUGGUCAUCACACUUAUAAGCUCAUCUGGUACAAUCAUAAGAAAAAUGUUUGGGGUUUGCAGAAAGACCAACCUAUUAUUCCUCCGGCGACAACCGUCAAUCCGGAAGACCCUCAUGUGAUUGAGAUUGCACAAUUUGCAGUUGUAACGUACAAUAAGCAGGCCGGGACCGAUCUGGUUUUCAUCAAAGUGGAAUUCGGCUUCCGGUGGGGCAAUCUUGGUGCCACUGACUACAUGCUUGCCAUUAAAACUCAGGAUGAUAAGGGCACAUAUUGCGACGUAGCGUUGGUUGCUGAUAUAGUGGUGAGUGAUAAGUGAAUAUUUAACGUACAUUUUGUAUGAAUUUGGCAUUAAUUUUUGGUAUGUUCUGAGAAGAUUAAGCCAUAUUUGAACUCUUUUGGUGAUAAUUGCUUAAAUAUUGAUUAAGGUUUCAAAAAAUUGAUAAAUGAGUGAAUUAAUGCGUUAAUCUUGUGAAUUUGUGAAGGUAAUUGAUGUAUGAAAUUCAUGCACAAGUUCAAAGAAAUGUAAGGGUCAUCCAGAGGACAAAGUACACAAGAAAUUAGGAGCAAAAAUGUAGAAAAAAGAGAAGAAGUGAAAAACUGGAAAUUGGUCAACACGGAUCCGAGCUCGGAUCCGUGUGCACAAGAUGGAUCCGAACCCUCGUCUGUACUUCUGGCGGAGAGCAUCCGAGGUCAGGACGAUCCGACCUCGGAUCCAUUACGAAAUCCCUCGGAUCCCUCGGAUCCGAGCUCGGAUCCAUUUUCACUCCUCGGAUCCGAGGCUCGGAUCUGUCUCUCUCCUCAGCAAGUGCAACAGCCGUUUUUCUUUACCUUUUUCACAACUUUCCAGCUAUUUUGAGGGACAGAAAUCGGUGGCACAUGCUUCUGCAACAAAAGAAAAGACCAAAUGAGUAUGGACAAAAGGAAAUAUCAUAUCUUUGACUUCUUUUUACAAAAUCUGAGUGGAGGAAAUUAUGAAGUGAGAGGAAUGGAAUUUCUUCCACCUUUUAUGCAGAAACACAGAGGAGAAGCAGGGGAUUACCAUACGUAGCUAGUUUUUCAUUUUGUAACAAGUUUCUCUCUAGUUAGGAGUCUUGGAGAAGCAUUUUGUCUUUGGAGUUUUUCACUUGUAAUCAGAUUGUGCAAGAGCAUAGCAGGAAUUAGAGAGCUUCACCUUCAGUUGGCUAAGCUUUCUUUCAUCUUUCUUAUACUUGUACUGUAUGAUGUUUUGCAGCAAUAAACUUGUGAUUCUGAUUGUUGAAUCAUACAUGAGUAGCUAACUUUCUUCAUCUAGGGAGUAGAUGAAACUUAUGGCUAAAUAGUAUAAAUUGAAUGUGAUUUACACUUGUUAUAUCUUGUAUUAACUUGUCUACUUGUGUAGCUGUGAUUACUUGCUAUUGAUUGAUCACCAAUAGUUUGGUUAUAGUUGUUAUUGUUCAAUGAGAAUUGGUAAUAACAAUGGAAACACAUGAGUAGAGCUUGAGUUGUAUGUUCAUGAAAAUAGAGAUACACGUAGGUGGAUUACUUAGCAUUUCAUGAAAUAAAACAGAGUAGUAGUAGUAUUUCACCAUGAAAAUAGGGAAAUCUAUAUUGCUUUAGGCCAUUUCAUCAUGAAAAUGAGUCUUGGAAACUUUGGAAAUGAAUCUGUGGUUAAGCAAGAAUAAUAGCAAGAAGUAAAUCCAUUCAUUUGUAUUGUUUAUGCCAUAAGUGGAAUCUACAUCCCUAGAAUCUUCCUUAAGUGAAAUUUCUCUAUUUGCAUUCAGCAUUUGUUAAACUAGAUUUGUAUAUCAGAUUUGUAGAUUACAGCAUUAGAUUUUCUCUGCUCAAAUUAAUUGUUAGUCUAAAUAAUAGAGAAAAUAAGGGCUUAGUAAUUGUUUGAAUUGCUCCUCGUGGGAUCGACCCGAUAUACAUCUUGUACUACAAUUGCGACCUGUAUACUUGCAGUCCAACGGGUGUAAAAUCGGAAUUAAACUUGCAUUGAUACAAAAUAUCCCGUCAAGUUUUUGGCGCCGUUGCCGGGGAGCGGCAAUAUUAGGGCCUCAUCAUCUCUAUUAAUUUAGAUAAAUUUCAUUAUCUUUAUUCAAGUUGUUGAAUUAAAAGUAUAAAAAUUUUCUCUUGUUUUUGUUUGUAGUGUAUGCACCGAUCAAAUCGAGGACUUGUACAUUUCGAUCCGGAAAUUGAAAGAACAUUACGCAGACAAAGGAGGAAUACAUCACAUCAAGAGGAACAAGAGGUUUGGCAGCCAAUACAAGAUAUUUUGAUAGAAUUACAAUUUGAGGAAGAAAUGGCAGAAAAUGAAUCAAAUAGGAGAAUUCUGCGAGAUUUUGCUUUACCGGGAGCACAAGGAUCUCAAACUAGCAUUGUAAGACCAACGGUAAACGCUAAUAACUUUGAGAUAAAACCAUCACUGAUUCAAAUGGUACAACAAUCUCAAUAUGGAGGUAAUGCUACUGAGGAUCCAAAUUCUCACUUAUCAACAUUUCUUGAAAUUUGUGAUACAAUUAAGUUUAAUGGUGUUAGUGAAGAUGCGAUUAAACUUCGAUUGUUUCCAUUUUCACUAAGGGACAAGGCUAAGGUUUGGCUACAAUCUCAUCCUCCAAAUACUUUUACUACUUGGGAUGAAUUAGCUAAGGCUUUUCUUAAUAAAUUCUUUCCACCUGGAAAAACUGCUAAAUUGAGAAUGGAUAUAACAAGUUUCUCUCAACAGGAAGGAGAGACAUUGUAUGAAGCUUGGGAGCGUUAUCGGGAAUUGCAAAGAAGAUGCCCUCAUCAUGGUCUACCCGAUUGGCUAGUAGUCCAAACAUUUUACAAUGGUCUCACCUAUCCAACAAAGACACAUGUAGAUGCAGCAGCGGGAGGAGCUUUAAUGGGAAAGACAGCUGAGGAAGCUCAGCAAUUGAUCGAAGAAAUGGCUGCUAACAACUACCAAUGGGCAAACGAACGAGGUAAUUCAAGGAGAACCGCAGGUAUGCUUGAAGUAGAUACCUUGAAUAUGUUAAGUGCAAAAAUGGAUAAUGUGGUUAAGAUGCUUAAUAGGCAAGUUGGUUCUAGUUCUAAUCAAGGAGUAGUUGUUGCAAGUUGUACCAUUUGCGGCGGAGAUCAUGAUGAUUUUAUGUGUUCUAGCAGUGAACAGGUUCAAUAUCUCAACAAUUACAACCGUCCACCCCAAAACAAUCCAUACUCCAAUACUUAUAAUCCAGGAUGGCGUAAUCACCCGAAUUUUGGAUGGAAAGAUCAAGGGAACCAACAAAGACCAGUUAAUCCACCAGGUUUUCAACAAAAGCAAACACUGCAUGAGUCCAAACCAGCUUGGGAAUUGGCAAUCGAAAAGCUAGCUAAUGCAUCAAAUGAUAAAAUUGAAAAGUUAGCUAGUGCCACUACUCAACGGUUUGAAAGAAUUGAGGGAAGAAUGGACCAACUCACCAAUAUGUACAGGAAUGUUGAGGUCCAAUUAGGCCAAAUUGCCAAUGCGGUUAAUAAUCGUAACCAAGGGGAUUUACCUAGCAAAACUGAAGUGAACCCAAGGGAGCAUGUGAAGGCCAUAACCCUCCGUAGUGGUAAGGAAUUAGUUGAGCCGCCAGUAGUUGGAAGUGGAAGAGAGUUUGAAAAAAGAGAGAAUAAGAAAUUGAGUGAGUUAAAAGAGGGAAGCAAGGAAGAAAAAGGGAAAGAAAAGAUAGAGAAAAAUGAACUGCAAAUGGAAGAUGCAACACCAAUUCCUCCACCGGUGCCAUUCCCUCAAAGAUUGAAGCCUUCAAGAAAUGACAAAGAAUUUGAGAAAUUUGUCAACAUUUUUAAACAAUUACAUAUUAACAUUCCUUUUGUGGAUGCUAUUUUGCAGAUUCCUUCGUACGCGAAGUUUCUCAAGGAGAUAAUGACCAGGAAAAGGAAGUUGGUAGACAGUGAGACAAUUGCAUUAACAGAAGAAUGUAGUGCAAUCAUACAAAACAAAUUGCCACCCAAAUUGAAAGAUCCAGGGAGUUUUACAGUUCCUUGCACUAUCGGUAAUGUAGAAUUUUCUAAAGCACUUUGUGACCUUGGUGCAAGUGUGUCAUUGAUCCCUUUAACUGUGGCUAGGCAAUUGGGGUUGAAAGAGUUGAAGCGUACUAACAUUUCCUUGCAAUUGGCUGACAGGUCUAUUAGACAUCCAAUGGGCAUAUUGGAAAAUGUGCUCAUUAAAGUGCAGAAAUUUAUUAUUCCUGUCGAUUUUGUUGUUUUAGAUAUGGAGGAAGAUGUAAAUGUACCUAUUAUACUUGGUAGACCAUUUCUGGCCACUGCAGGUACAAUAAUAGACGUCAAACGAGGUAAGUUUAAGUUUCAAAUCGGUGAAGAGGAAGUGGAAUUUGAUUUGAGUAAAGUAGAGAAAUAUCCCUCUUUUACCGACCAUGUUUAUUCGGUUGACAUAUGUGAUGAAUUGGCAUUAGAAAUGAGUCAAGUAAAUCUUGAUAAUGAUUCUCUUGAACUUUGUCUUAAUGGUAUAGGUAUACAAGAGGAACAGAUUGAAGAAAUGACUGAAUUUUUGUAGGCACAAAUUCCUUAUAAAAGGAGAAAUGCAUACGAGGCGUUAGGACUGAGCAAAGGGCUACCUCCACCAUCAUGUGAGAAAGCACCGCAGCUUGAGCUUAAGCCGCUGCCUAAGCACCUCAAAUAUGCAUUUCUUGGAGAAAAAGAGACACUGCCUGUGAUUGUAAAUUCAGCAUUAAAUGAGGAACAAUUAGACAAGCUCUUACGUGUUUUGAGGAAGCAUUUAAAGGCUAUAGGAUGGACAAUUUCUGAUAUCAAAGGAAUUAGUCCAACUAUUUGUAUGCACAGGAUUUUAUUGGAAGAAAAUUCUAAACCAGUGGUUGAGACUCAAAGAAGGUUAAAUCCAAACAUGAAAGAAGUGGUAAGAGUAGAAAUCCUUAAAUGGUUGGAUGCAGGUAUAAUUUUUCCAAUUUCUGACAGUGUGUGGAUUUCUCCUAUCCAUGUAGUACCAAAGAAAGGGGGGAUAACCAUAGUACAUGGUAAAAAUGAUGAAAUGAUUCCCUCUAGAGUUGUGGUUGGUUGGCGAGUCUGUAUUGAUUACAGAAAAUUGAAUGCAGCUACUAGGAAGGAUCAUUUCCCUCUUCCUUUUCUUGAUCAAAUGGUAGAAAGAUUGGCCGGAUAUGAAUUUUAUUGUUUCUUGGAUGGUUUUUCAGGAUACAAUCAAAUAGUCAUUGCACCAGAAGAUCAAGAGAAAACUACAUUCACUUGUCCUUACGGUACUUUUGCAUUUCGAAGGAUGCCUUUUGGAUUGUGCAAUGCACCGGCCACUUUCCAACGAUGCAUGAUGGCAAUUUUCUCUGAUUUUAAUGAGAAAAUUAUGGAAAUCUUCAUGGAUGAUUUUUCUGUAUUUGGAUCUACUUAUGAUGAUUGUCUUAACAAUUUAGAUCUAAUUUUGCAGAGAUGUGAAGAAACAAACCUUGUACUCAAUUGGGAAAAAUGUCACUUCAUGGUUUGUGAAGGUAUUGUGUUAGGCCACAAAAUUUCCUCAGAAGGUAUUGAGGUUGAUCAAGCCAAAAUAGAGGUUAUUGAGAGAAUGCCUCCACCAACCAAUGUGAAAGGCAUUCGUAGCUUUCUUGGACAUGUGGGAUUCUAUCGGCGGUUUAUUAAGGAUUUUUCCAAGAUUGCUAAACCUUUAUGUGAAUUACUUGCAAAAGAUGUUCCUUUUCAAUUUACUGAUGAGUGUUUACUUGCUUUUAAUAGGUUAAAGAAGCAACUUGUCUCCGCACCUAUCAUAGCAUCACCGGAUUGGAGCUUGACAUUCGAAUUAAUGUGUGACGCAAGUGAUUUUGCAGUUGGGGCUGUUCUUGGGCAAAAACAUAAUAAGCGACUUCAUGUCAUUUAUUAUGCAAGUAAAAUGUUAAAUGAAGCUCAAGUUAACUAUGCAACAACAGAGAAGGAGUUGCUAGCAGUGAUUUUUGCAUUGGAUAAAUUUAGAUCAUACUUAGUAGGAUCUAAAGUUAUCGUUUAUACUGAUCAUGCAGCACUCAAGUAUUUGUUAAAUAAGAAAGAUGCAAAACCGCGAUUAAUUCGAUGGAUUUUAUUGUUGCAGGAAUUUGACUUGGAGAUCAAAGAUAAAAAAGGAUCCGAGAAUUUAGUUGCAGAUCAUCUUUCUAGACUGGAGAACAUGCAGCAAGAUGACCAUUUGUCCAUUAAAGAAGAAUUUCCAGAUGAGUUUUUAAUGGCAAUUUAUAAGUCACCAUGGUAUGCUGAUCUAGUUAACUUUAUAGCUAGUGGAGUGAUACCUAAUGAUUUGAAUUCUCAUCAAAGAAAAAAAUUCUUAAAUGAUGCUAAACAUUACUUUUGGGAGGAACCAUUCUUUUACAAACAUUGUGCAGAUGGAAUAAUUAGAAGAUGUGUUCCGGAGGAGGAGGUACAUAGCAUUUUAAUGCAUUGUCAUACUCUUGAAACGGGAGGUCAUUUUAGUACUACUAAGACUGUAGCAAAGAUAUGGCAAUCUGGAUUUUAUUGGCCUACUAUGCACCAAGAUACUAGAAAUUGGGUGAAAAGUUGUGAUCAAUGCCAAAGAACCGGUAAUAUCUCAAGAAGGAAUGAAAUGCCUUUGACUACAUAUUUGGAAGUUGAGUUAUUUGAUGUUUGGGGCAUUGAUUUUAUGGGACCAUUUCCUAGCUCAUAUAAUAACAAGUACAUCCUUUUAGCAGUUGAUUAUGUCUCUAAAUGGGUGGAGGCCAUUCCUUCACAAACUAAUGAGGCUAAAGUUGUGCUUAAGUUUCUGAAACGGAACAUAUUUUGUAGGUUUGGAGUCCCAAAGGCAAUAAUAAGCGACGAAGGUAAGCAUUUUUGUAAUAAAGCUAUUGACACUUUGUUGUUUAAAUAUGGGUGCAGGCAUAAAAAGUCACUCCCCUAUCAUCCUCAAGCUAAUGGACAAGCGGAGUUGGCCAACCGGGAAAUUAAAAUCAUUUUGGAAAAAACAGUAAACCGAUCAAGAAAAGAUUGGUCAAACAAGCUUGAAGAUGCUUUAUGGGCGUAUAGAACGGCAUUUAAAACGCCGUUGGGAAUGUCUCCAUAUAAGCUUGUUUAUGGGAAAGCAUGUCAUUUACCUGUGGAAAUAGAACAUAGAGCUUAUUGGGGCAAUUAACUUUGAUUUUAAAUCUGCAGGUGAAAAGAGAAUGCUUGAGUUAAGCGAAUUGGAGGAAUUGAGGUUGACUUCGUAUGAGAAUGUCAAGAUUUACAAAGAAAAAGUGAAAUUUUGGCAUGAUAAACAUAUCCUCCCUAAGCAUUUUGAAGAAGGGCAAAAGGUUUUGAUGUUUAACUCAAGGCUUAAAUUAUUUCCUGGAAAGCUUAAGUCUCGAUGGUCCGGUCCAUUUGAAGUGGUUCGCAUGUUUCCUUAUGGAGCAGUGGAAAUAAAAGGAGAAAAUGGUGCUCCAUUCAAAGUAAAUGGCCAAAGAUUGAAGCUCUAUUUGGCAGGAGAAAAAGUUCCUAAAGGGGUAAUUUACUCCUUAGGAAAUGCAAAGGAGAAUUAAAGAAGUUAUAGGAUUGUCGAGCCAACGACUAUAAACAAAAGCGCUUGUUGGGAGGCAACCCAAUAAUAAUAGUGUAUUUGUGUGUUUUUAGGUGUUUCUUACAUUUUGGCGUGAUUUAAUUGACUAAUUAGAUAUAUUUCACUUGUUUGUAGGAGGUACGGGAGUUUUAUCAUCCAUCUCGGAGGUGCACUUGAAGAAUAUGUGUAAAAGGGAGUUUUUCUUAUCAAAUUGUGUUUUAAGUGCUCAAAAUUCCCAUGCAUAUACAUACAUUGUGCAUUUCAAGUAUAUUUAAGUGAGUUUUGGUGAUAUCAUGGUUAUAAAGGCUCAUGGACUCAUUUGAUAUACAUUUAAUGCUAAAAAAAAAAAUGCCAUUUUAGUGUAAAAAUGCAAAAAUGAUCAAAGAACCUCACCCCUCGAUUUUCAAUGUAGAUGUGUUUGUUGUGUUUUGAGAGGUUGGAUAUUAUGUUUAUGGUAUAUUACAUGUGCAUGGGACGUUGGAAUUGAGAAAAGGGAUGUCCAAUGUGUAAUUUGGAAUUGGCCGAAAAAAGGGAGAAAAAGUUUGAAAAAAAUUGCAGUUUCUGCAAUUUGUUGCAGAGACACAAGGAUCCGAGCUCGGAUCCUAAAAGCCCAGACAGAUCCGACCGCGGAUCCAUAGAUCCGAGCUCGGAUCCAUUCCAACCCAGACAGAUCCGAGGGCUCGUCUGUGUUUCUGUUGGGGCUGAUCCGAGCCCUAUCGGAUCCGAGCCCUUCCAGAAAGGAUCCGACCUCGGAUCCUUUCACGAUAAGAAAGGAAACGAGGCCUCGGUUCCUCAUUUUUCCAGAUUUCUUUUUUUUUCUCUCUUCGAAACCCUAUUCCCUUUCCUCCAAUCUUCCAUUUCAUCCAUAACAUUCCCAAUUUUUCACAACAAAAACCUUCACUAACCUCUUCUGAGCAUUAACCCUUAACAAUUUGAAAUCAAAAACAUCAAAUUGAGGGGUUUUGAUCUUCAAAACGCAAAUUAGGGCCGAAUUGAAAUCUUGCAAUUUGAGGUCGCGUUUGGGCUUGGUUGUUCUCCAUUUUUGCAUCAUUAUCAUCCUCCAUCAUCACUCCAUCUAUUUGAGGUAACACAUUUCGAAUUUCUGUGACAUUUUAUAUCUCUCAUUUUUGUAUAUUUUUAGUUUUUCAAUAUAUUUUGCUAAUAGCUUAAUUGUUGCAAAUUCGUGAUAUAAUUGUGAUACAUUGUGCUCAAAUCAGUUGCUAUAAUUAUUUUCAUGCUUAUUUGUGUGAGAAUUAUGGAUUUGGUGAUAGUUUUGAGAUUUCCUUCUCAAUUUUUGGGCUUGAGCAUGUUAGUGGUUUAAACUUGUGAAUUUUGCUUUCUGUGAAUAUAUGAACUUGUUCAGAGAGGUAUAAAUCACUGUUAUACCAAUUGAAAAUGAUAUGCUAGAGCAAUAGCCCAUUGGGUAAAAGUGUGUGUUCCCGAUCAAGUUAAGCACAUUGAACCACUUUUACUUGAAAUAAUUAGUAUUUGGAUUAAUUGGGACUCAUAUGUCGUUAACUUAAGUGUUAACGAGUGUUAUGAAAUGGAUUGGAGAUAUUCUCAAGUGUUUGAGUGUUCAUUCUUGCAAAUGGAUAUAAUUUAAAAUUGUUUGCACUUAAUAUGCAUGAAAUGAUUUCUUUACUGCUAAUAUCCUUUCUGAGUGUGGGAAUUGGAUUUGACAAUUGUUAGAAAGUUUAUUUGUUUAAUUUUGGGUACAUUUUGGCAGGGAGUUUAGCCCUUUUUCAAGGGGAAAUUCUGCCGAAAUUUUCUUAAAUUCUUAUUUAACAUGUAUGAGAGAGUUUCUAUCGUCUCUAAUAAAUACUCAUCUUGUUUAUAGGUGCUAUGGCUCGUACAAGGAGGGCUCGUAUUCGUACUCCUACACCAUCGUCAAGUGAAGAACAUACACCUUCUGUGCAUGAGGAGUCGCCUGAGGAAGAAUCCCCUUCGCCUGAAUCACCACCUCGAUCUCGCCGGAAAACUGCAUCCACUAGCCGUGACGAGCCAAUUCCUGACUAUGAUACCACUCGUUUCACCUCGCUCGAGAAUCAACAGUGGUACGAGGCUGGUUUGGACAAAGAGAUUAUCGUUGAAAAACAUUUGGCACCGGAGGUGGAUGCACACUACCACAUCUCCACGGUAUUUAAGCGACUCGGAUGGGAGACUAUACUAAAUUUGCCAAAACAUUACUAUCCCAAUCUGGUCAGGGAAUUCUACGCCAAUGUAGAAAAUAAACAAAGUCACAGUGGCAACCUCAUCGUCUCGUGGGUUCGAGGAAGAAGAGUGGCUCUCAAUCGCGAUACAUUGAGACAAUUCACCAAACUCAAAGAUGAAGGCGAAGAUGUCAAAUUGACCAAGGAGUUCAAAGCUCGAGACCCUUGGGAAGUGGGAGAGGCCGUGGGACGGCUAAAGGGUCAAUACCGUGAGCGAGGAAGUUCGAAAAAACUCACGGUAUAUGCCGACUCCUUCGAGCAUCGGUACCACCUGAUUUUCUACCUUUUUGCCUUCAAUGUGGUACCGAAAAAGAGUGGCAAACGGGAGAUCCGAAAUAGCGAUCUCUAUUUUCUGGAUAAAAUGAUACAUGGAGUGGGUAGGCAAUUGACUGGUAUUCCUCUACCCAGCAUUAUCAUCAGCUAUAUGCGAACCACAGCUCGUAUGAGGGCCGGCGAGACUUGUUUUGGAUUUCCUCGGCUGCUAUCCCUCAUCUUUGAGAAGCUCAAGAUUCCCAUUGGAACCCAGAGAGCUGUGGUAACUAGGUCGGCCGACGAGGUAAAUGAUUCGUUACUCAAAUCCUUGGGUAUUUCUACUGAUUUUGGAGCUACUUUGGUCCGGGACACAGGAGAAGCAUCGACUUCCACUCAGCCUCCGCCUCACACUGAACCACAAGCGGAAACUCAAGAGACGGAGGCACAGCAGACUCUUCCUCCUCCGGUUCCACGACCACCUCCUCAAUCGCGCUCCAAGUGGCAAGAGCUUCUCAAUGCUAUUUGCUGUAUGGAGACGCGAGUCGUCGAGCGCAUUGACCAGACGGAACGGAUGAUGACUGAGCGACUCGACCGACAUGAUCGCCGUCUUCGUGCGAUCGAGGAUCAUUUUCAUAUUCGACGGUCCCCUACACCGACACCUCAUCAGGAGGAGGGCCAUAUUGGUACCUCACAGGGUCCUCAUGGAGCCGAGGAGGCAGUAGACCCUCGUUCCCAGCAGCCAUGAUGCUUUUUAGCGCAUUAGACCUUUUAUUUCUUUAUUUUUCUUUUCUUUUGUUAAGACAAACUUUGUAGCUUUUAUUUUUCUUUAAUUUAAAUCAUUUUGUGCUACUUAUGGUAUUUGGUACCCUUGUUGUCUCAUUUUGGACAGAAAAUGGAUGAGCGUGAUGAUUAAAAGAUUCAAACGGCAUCACCACCUAUUUUGAGGGAAGUUUCAGUUCUUUUACCUUCCUCUACAAUGAGGACAUUGUAGAUUUUAAGUGUGGGGGAGGCAUUACUUAUCUUAUGGGUGAUUGUGUGUUGAAAUGCAUGAUUUUAGUUGUUUAUGGCUUAAAAAUGUUGGAAUUAUAUGUGGAGAUAGUCAUGAGGAUUUCAUUACAAUUCUUCCAUAAAAAUGGCCAAAAUGUUAAAAUUUUAAGUGUCUAAUUCUUCCAUUGGAUAAAAUGCUAUGUGUAUUUUGGAAAAGUUUAGUUCUUAUUUGGCCUGGAAUGAAUUAUUAUGCAAUUAGGAUAUUUACAUUUUAGAAAGUAUAUUUGGUUAAAUAAGAAAAAUUAUGCUUAGAAUUUUGCAAAAUUAAUGAGAUUUAUCAUUUUUACUUAAUUUUAUAAGUAAGUGAUUGAUAUAGUCAAAAACAAGGCCAAAUUCUUCCUUUAAUUAUACUUAAAGGGAAAAAGAAAUUAUAUGUCAUAAAAAAAAAAAACAAGAAUAAUAUUAUUAUUUUUCUACUCCAAUGAUUCAUAUACUGAGUAACCGGGGGUUGGCAUUUACAAAUAUCGACAUUCGCGUAAAAAGGUAUUGGAAUUAAGAGUAUGCUUAGCAAUUUAAAUAAGUGAAAUGUUGAGUAACCGGGAAUUUUCACCUAAAAGUGUUGAUUUUCGUGUAAAAAGACAUUUUCAUUAUUUAAAUAAGAAGAAAUGUGAAUAAAUCCCUCUAAAUUGAUAAGUUUUGGGAUAAGGAAGGCCAUAAAAUUGACUAUGUGAUUUACUUAUUUGUGAAAUUAGGAUAGAAUGAGAGAAUUGAUUUGAAUUUGUUGAAAUUAAGGCAUAAUUAUUUUUAUUUAAUUAAAUAUUAUGAGUAUUUAGUGUAAUCUGAGAAAUGGCAUAAUGAUUGGUUUCUAGGUUUUUGAGGAAUUAAAUUUGACAAAAGUACGUAUAUUGUUUUAUCUAUUAAAAUAGUUGAAGUAAGUUGAAAAAAAAAAAAAUUUUGCUUGAGGACAAGCAAUGAUUCAAGUGUGGGGGAAUUUGAUAAGUGAAUAUUUAACGUACAUUUUGUAUGAAUUUGGCAUUAAUUUUUGGUAUGUUCUGAGAAGAUUAAGCCAUAUUUGAACUCUUUUGGUGAUAAUUGCUUAAAUAUUGAUUAAGGUUUCAAAAAUUGAUAAAUGAGUGAAUUAAUGCGUUAAUCUUGUGAAUUUGUGAAGGUAAUUGAUGUAUGAAAUUCAUGCACAAGUUCAAAGAAAUGUAAGGGUCAUCCAGAGGACAAAGUACACAAGAAAUUAGGAGCAAAAAUGUAGAAAAAAGAGAAGAAGUGAAAAACUGGAAAUUGGUCAACACGGAUCCGAGCUCGGAUCCGUGUGCACAAGAUGGAUCCGAACCCUCGUCUGUACUUCUGGCGGAGAGCAUCCGAGGUCAGGACGAUCCGACCUCGGAUCCAUUACGAAAUCCCUCGGAUCCCUCGGAUCCGAGCUCGGAUCCAUUUUCACUCCUCGGAUCCGAGGCUCGGAUCUGUCUCUCUCCUCAGCAAGUGCAACAGCCGUUUUUCUUUACCUUUUUCACAACUUUCCAGCUAUUUUGAGGGACAGAAAUCGGUGGCACAUGCUUCUGCAACAAAAGAAAAGACCAAAUGAGUAUGGACAAAAGGAAAUAUCAUAUCUUUGACUUCUUUUUACAAAAUCUGAGUGGAGGAAAUUAUGAAGUGAGAGGAAUGGAAUUUCUUCCACCUUUUAUGCAGAAACACAGAGGAGAAGCAGGGGAUUACCAUACGUAGCUAGUUUUUCAUUUUGUAACAAGUUUCUCUCUAGUUAGGAGUCUUGGAGAAGCAUUUUGUCUUUGGAGUUUUUCACUUGUAAUCAGAUUGUGCAAGAGCAUAGCAGGAAUUAGAGAGCUUCACCUUCAGUUGGCUAAGCUUUCUUUCAUCUUUCUUAUACUUGUACUGUAUGAUGUUUUGCAGCAAUAAACUUGUGAUUCUGAUUGUUGAAUCAUACAUGAGUAGCUAACUUUCUUCAUCUAGGGAGUAGAUGAAACUUAUGGCUAAAUAGUAUAAAUUGAAUGUGAUUUACACUUGUUAUAUCUUGUAUUAACUUGUCUACUUGUGUAGCUGUGAUUACUUGCUAUUGAUUGAUCACCAAUAGUUUGGUUAUAGUUGUUAUUGUUCAAUGAGAAUUGGUAAUAACAAUGGAAACACAUGAGUAGAGCUUGAGUUGUAUGUUCAUGAAAAUAGAGAUACACUUAGGUGGAUUACUUAGCAUUUCAUGAAAUAAAACAGAGUAGUAGUAGUAUUUCACCAUGAAAAUAGGGAAAUCUAUAUUGCUUUAGGCCAUUUCAUCAUGAAAAUGAGUCUUGGAAACUUUGGAAAUGAAUCUCUGGUUAAGCAAGAAUAAUAGCAAGAAGUAAAUCCAUUCAUUUGUGUUGUUUAUGCCAUAAGUGGAAUCUACAUCCCUAGAAUCUUCCUUAAGUGAAAUUUCUCUAUUUGCAUUCAGCAUUUGUUAAACUAGAUUUGUAUAUCAGAUUUGUAGAUUACAGCAUUAGAUUUUCUCUGCUCAAAUUAAUUGUUAGUCUAAAUAAUAGAGAAAAUAAGGGCUUAGUAAUUGUUUGAAUUGCUCCUCGUGGGAUCGACCCGAUAUACAUCUUGUACUACAAUUGCGACCUGUAUACUUGCAGUCCAACGGGUGUAAAAUCGGAAUUAAACUUGCAUUGAUACAAAAUAUCCCGUCAGUGAGCGGUGGUCACACUUAUGACCUCAUCUGGUACAAUCAUAACAAUAAUUAAUCAAGCACUACUCUUGAUCAGCUGAGGAGUGAGGAUCGACGAUUUUAAGUACUUUAAUUAUCUAGUGUUUAUGGUGUGGUUUUCAGUUUAUGCAUGGAUGAUGUACUGCUGGCAUGCAAACAUCCUCCCACUGUUGUACUAGUGUGUAAUGUAAGGUGCACUUCUACCAACAAAAAUGCACCGUUAAAUAAAAAAAUCCGUCUGUAUUUGAGUACGUGUCCUUGUACUAAUAUGUCAAAGGCGCACUUGUACGAACAAAAAUGCACCAUUAAAUAAAUAGAAACAGCUGUACGAGUUUGAGUUUGUAUCUGUGUAUUUUGUUUCUCUGUUACCUGCAAGCAACUAUCAAUCCCUGAGUUUUGCAUGUCAGCUAGGUACUAUAUUCAUGACUAGUUAUGAAGUCUGAUAACUAGUUAAGUAUUACUUAAGAUGAAUCCAAACCUUAAAAAGAAAUGAAAGAUUAGUUGAUACAUUGGGAGUAACACAAGCCGAUGACGUUUUGGUUCUUCUUUGAAGUAUAUUUUGGAUGUUCUUCAUAAAUAUGAAGACUGUUCAGGCCAGCGAGUUAACAAAAAGUUGUUUCUUGACCCAUCAGCGGUUGAAUGUGGCAAGACGACGAGUGAUCAAAAGUGUCACUGGGAAUUCAUAUGCAGGCCAUAGCUAAAUUUCCGUUUUUGGAUCUCUGUACAACUGGUACACGUAAAAUUUGUCAGCUAAACUCCGCCACCAAUUGUUCACGAUAUGCAGGAUGGAUGUUCUGGACAAGAAUAUAAAGAUUAAAAAGGGGACUACGAUUAUCAACAAGAAUAAAAUUGGAUUUAGAAAAAACAUGGUUGAUUACUCGUAUGAUUUGUGCCUAAUGAUAAUUACGAAGCAGAAGAAGAAAAAGAAGGGAAAAAAAGAAGAAAGAAAGGGUUGGAUUGUUGCACACACACAUACAUACAUACAUACAUAUAUAUACACACAUGCAUAUAUAUACAUACGUAUAGGGGAGAGGGAUGGGUUGGGUGAUACAGGGGAAAGAAGUGCAAGCGAAGGUCUCGGGUUCGAGUCCUCCUACUUACACUAAAAAAAACAUAUGUAUAUAUCCUUAUACUAUAUAAGAAUGAAUUUAGGGCAAAGAUUUCAAUCCCAAGGAUGGGGCUAUUUUGGAAAUAUGAGAGUAUUUGAGGUGAAAUUGGAAUAUUUAAUAUGAAUCAUUAUAACUGAUUUGGUUUUUUUUUAUAAUUACUUAAAUGUCCUCUCAGACAUUUAAAGCUAUGAGUAAGUUUAACAUGUGACAGUAUUCGAUAUUCAAUUAAUUAUUCGGUACAAUUGAAUUCAGCUUGUGUUUUAGUGAAAUUACAUAAAAAUCCUUUUAAUCAUUUAAUUGUAUUAACAUCUACGUCUCUUAAUUUCUUAAAGCCUUUCUCAACAAUUAUUUGCAAACUUAUGAUAUAUAGAUGUUAAGACACAAGUUUGGUUUCUUGGCCGUUACCAUAGUAACCCCCAUCUAUCCAAAUUCAUUUCAUUUACCUAUAACUUUGUUCCACUACAAUCAUGUAGUCUAUUGAAUUCAGAUGUUGCUAUAUUAGCUACUACUCUUUCCCAUUUUGCAACAUCUUUCUCAAUAGGUUUGUUUUCUUUAGCUAAUCUACUUUUUUGGUUGUAAGAAAUUUGCAAUCUUGUAAGUUGUAUGUGCAAUAAUUUUUUUAGUGUUUUAAUUCAAUUGCCCAUGUUAGAUUGGCUUGAUAGGGAGGAGAUCACAUUUAUUAAUUGUUAUUUGUGGUUUAGAAUAAGUUUGUCAUCAUAAAUUUUUUCAUUAAUAGAUUGCAUCUACUUCUUUUGUUGUUUUAACUAUUAGUUACGAUAAUUUUCAAAUCAUUUGCUACUUUUUUUAUGAUUCCAUUUAGGCAAUUUUUCACUUCAUUUGAUUUGCCAAUAUGUUUAACUAUCUACUUUAAAACUAUUUGGCUGCAAAUCUAAAGUAUGUACUUCAUUACUUUUAAUUUUUUUCUUGAAUUGAGUGGGUUAAGAUGUUUUAGUACUUUUUUGAGGUAAUUAUUCAUCUAGAUUAGCGUGUUAGUUAUUGUAUAUCUUUGCAACUAGGUCAAAAACUGAUGUUUUGUGAUUGUAACCCCUAUCGAGAAAGAGAUGCUUUGCUAUAUGUCCUAAAUCAUACAAUAAAUCAUAAUUAAUUGAUUUGUCAAUGUGGAGCUUUCAUGAUGAUAUGUCAUUGGAAUCAAUAUAAAUCCAAGAAUUUGGCUUGCAAGAACCGAAAUUCCACUAGCAAUGAUUUCUUCAAGUAUGCUAAUUUUUCAAAUCUCACUUAUAUGACAAGAUAAUGAGGUAGACUGCCCUCAAAUCAAGAUCAAAUUCAAACUUAACGACAAAAUUUAACAUCCCUAAAAUGCAUGAGUAGAUAUAAGUAGAUCUUUUAUUCUAUUAGAUUAGACGCAAAGUGAUUAAUCGUAUUUUAUAAUUAUAUUUUGUUGCAUAUUAUUUUUUUCACUCAAUAUGUAAUUUAUGAUUUUUCUAUUUAAUAUCACAUAAUAAAAUUGUCAUACUUCAAUUCUUAUGCUACAAAAUACUAAAUAAUAAUUAUUAACUAUCUUUACUUAAUACUAAAUAAAAAUUUUUCCCCUAGUAUAUAUAUAUAUAUGUGUGUGUGUGUGUGUUAACGAGGCUACAUUCAAAUUUAAAUUAGGAUGAUGUGCCAUGUAUCCAAAUUAAAUCUACUAAUGUAUAUAAUGAUAACGUGGUAGAUAUAUAUAUUUUUUUAAAAAGCAUUUUUCUUGAGAUAUAAAGUAUGCAGCCUUCUUUAUCCUGAAAGUAAGAUCACUAUUUUGUGGAUGAGGGCAGUCCAAAUGGGCGGGUCAAGUGGUUGCCUGAAUUUAAUUAGGUACCAGGUGCAGAUAGGUGGACCAUAAAACCCCAUUUAAUUAAUGGGUUUGGUAGGGUUAUGUAAACGUCUUUUUAGUCAAUGAAAGCUUGACUACGACCCAUUCAUAAUUUUUGGUUACUCUCACUCGACCCGUUAACUUCUGUCCAAGCUCAGGCUGCAUUUCUUAGGCAUCCAGCUUAAAACCCCAAAUUAAAAAUUAAAGACCACCUGGUAAUUUCCCUUUGGUUCUCAAUGCAGGUGGAUGUAAUGGGCUUUGAGGAUAUUUUAACUUUUAAUUUUGGAUAUUUUAACAUUUAAUGUCCCCAAAACCCAGCAAACCUGGAAAGAACAUUAAACAUGUAAUUUUGAUGUCUGUAAUUUGACUAUCAGUACUUCAUAUUAAUGGAAUCAUAUCUUAAUAUAUUUAGACUGUUUCAUAAUAAAAAUUGAACAUUUAAAUUAAUUAAAUGACACUAAAUUUUCUAGGUAAAAUUUGUGAUUGCAUGUUUGUGAUUGGCCACUAUAGACAUGCCCUUAGUGCUUGUAUUAAACUAAAAAGAGAUAUACAACCGUGCACUAGAUAAAUAAACAUAUUUAAUCUAAUUAUGAGAGUAAGUUAGCAGUUGUAUGACGCAAUUAUAUCACCUAAGAUCUUAAAGGGUUUAAUUAAAUACUUAUGAUCUCGAGAGAGACAUGCGAUUUAAUUAAGCAUAACUUAGGUAUAUCUAGAGAUAAUCUAAGGUAUUUGCGUGUAAUACAUUGUUGGCAUGUUGGGAAAAAUAAUGGGAUGAUUAAUUUAAAUUUUGCAUAAAAAUCUAAAACCCUAGACUCUUGCAAACCAUUUUCUCAACUCUAUUUAAUUUGCCUUGAUUAUUUGUUCAUUUUUUUUAGUUAUAGAUUGAAACCCCUAUGAAUUUGAAUUUUAUUAUUUGUCUAGAAUAAUUAAAGUAGAGAAAAUUAACUCGUUCAUCUAGAUUCUAUUUUGGAAUACUACAGGUAAUUUAUUACUACAAUCGAUCCUAUGUGCUUACAGGAAUUCAUUGAUCAAAAUGCAGUGUUGGCAUCACCCUCUUUCAACCAUUUGACUCUCGAUUUAUCCUUAUAAAAGCUCUCCUCAACUUGCAUCCUCAUUCAUAGUCUGUAUAUGAUUUUGCUUUCUCAAUAUAAAUUUUGGCCAACACAAUUCCAAAAAGUUCCUAAAUGUCCCCAACACGGUUGGUGAAAAGCCCCAAAAGUCCGUAUAGUUACCUUCUAAACUCAAUGUAAUAUCACUGCAGCUAAGCCUGUAGAGGUUUUACAAAUAUAUGAUUUUGAGUUUAGCUUAAGUCUAUCAAUAAAACGAUAAAGAAUAUAUUAAAAUCUUUGGUUAUCCUCCUUAUUUUGAACAUUAUAAAUGUUGUUAUUAUUUAUUAUGAGUUUACUAUAAAAAUUUAAAGAAGUAAAAAAUUAUAAAUUCAUAAAUUAGUGAACUAAAGAUUCCCUCUUUGAAGAAAAUAAAUUACUGAAGUCCUAUUGCAAGAUUUACCAGAAAAAGAACUCUAACAAGGAGAGUAUAUGCCGAGUUACUAAAAGCAUAGACAAAUAAAAAGGACACAAGGAUCAGGAAAACAUCUUUGUUUGGAUAUGAAGUUAUUUGCAACAAUAAAAAAAAAAAUUAAUUGCAUCAUAAAUCCGUUUUCUAAUUAUCUUUUUAUCUUUCUAGCCACCUUUUUAAUCUCAUAUCUAUCAUAUCACAAAGAGUGUUACGAUGUUAUUCCAAAAUAUUAUUCCAAAUAAUUUCCUAUUCGUACGCACUCAAAUAGUUCAAUCUUCAAUAAAUUAUGCAUUACCCUAUAUGCAGAUUCCUAGAUUACAACAUAAACCCCAAUUUUAGAUUCUUUUCUUCUUUCAUCCUUUCAAGUUCUUGAGUUGCACCACAUCUUUUAACUACUGUUGUAAUUUCUCAAGUUUCUAAUCAUCGCUUUGUUAGUCCACCAUUUCACUUCCAAUUGAUCUUGUUCAUUUUACCCUACAAAACAAAGAGAUUUUGCGAGUAAAAUGACAAAAUCAUAGUUAAUUCAUCUAUCAACUUAAGGUGCAAAUCAAAGACUAAAAUAAGCAACUUGCACCAUUUAACUUCACAAAUUGACUCAAAAACAAUAUAAAGCACCUACAGAAAUAUCCACAACUUGAGCUUAUAUCAGAAACGAACACUUUUUAUACUUCUGGCAUGGUUCUUAUAGAAUGAGUAGCGUAGUUUCGUUAAUUGGCAUGCAUAAUGGCUGUUUUUGAACAUUCGAAUCUACAUUAUCUUCACAAUAGAUUGUCGUAUUUCCAAAAUGAGAAAGCUGCUUUCUUUCAUUCGGUUCAAUACAUUUUUUGAUUGUUGGCAACAAAGUUUUGCAAUUUGGCAUUGAAACACAACUUCUUGACGUUCUCUUGCUUUUAUUGUGUAAAAAUGAUUACAAACCAAUGGAAUUUCCAUUUAAAAAUUUAAUAACCAAUUAAGAAAAUGACUUGCUCUUUUGGUGUAAUUGUUAAUCAUCUUCUUUUACAUCAACUCAUUAAGAAAUACAUGAAAUCAAAUACAAAAUGCAUAUUCAAGCUGAAAGUUUUUUUUUUAUUUAUUUUAACCCUCCCUCCCUUCUCCACACUCCAUCCCAUCCCCAACUGUCAACUUCAGGAUUCAAACUAUAAACCUGGUAGCUCUUAGCCAUUGGACCAAUCUUGCCUAGUUGCAUCAAGCCAAAAGUGGGAAGGAUGGUAAAAUAAUACGAUAAAAUUACAGGCUUAGCUAUAGUAAUUAAGGUUACGUUGGUGUAUAUUUUCACGCCGACCUCAUCAUGGACGUGUAAAAACGUGUUCCAUGCUGGUGGACCAUGAUUUUUGUGAUUCGGUCCUACAUCAUCACAAAUUACUUUAUGGGGUACAGAAUCACAUUUUUAGGCCCAUAAAUACAAGGAGUCUGGUCCUCUGCGACCAAGUUUUCGAUAGUCGCAAGUUUUCGAUAGUCACCAGUUACAAAUAUCUAUUUCCAUUCUUAUUAGUGUUUGAGUUUGUGUCCUUGUACAAGUAUGUCAAAGCUGCACUUAUACGAGUAAAAUGCACCAUUAAAUAAAUAAAAACAGCAGUCUGUGUUUGAAUUUGUAUCUGUGUAUUUUGUUCCUCUGUUACUUGCAAGCAAUUUUCAAUCCCUGAGUUUUGUGUGUCAACUAGGUACUAUAUUCAUGACUAGUUAUGAAGUCUAAUAACUAGUUAAGUUUUACUUAAAAUGAAUCCAAACCUGAAAAAAAAAAAAAAGAUUAACUGAUAAACAAGCUCUAGUCAAGGAUAUAAUUUCGGAAGUGAUUCAUACACCUGCUCAUUAAUGCAAUAAUUAUUUCAUUUAUUUGUUAAUAAACAGGUUAAAGUUGCCAAACAUGUGAUGAUAACCAACUUUUCCUUAAUAUCUCGAUAGUUAAUGUACAUUCAUUAACUACUUUCCUAAUCAAGAAACAACUCUAGGUACGUCCGUAUAAUUUAAUUUAUUGAUUGCAUUAAAAACUAGAAAAGUAAUGUUUUAAUCAAUAAACACACUAUUGGAGUUUAUUUAAAUUAGAUCAUAUGUUUCUCUAACAUGAAACCAAUCACAUUAGUCACCACUAAUUUAAGACAAUUAAACAAUUAAGAAUUUAACUAUCCUAACUAUCAUUAGAUUGUUAAGUUGAAUUAAAUAUCAAACACUCAUGACAUUCAAACAAUCAAACAAUCAUGAGAAAUUAAAUAAAAAAACAUACGAAUACUAACGAAUAAAAGAAAUAGAUAAAAACAAUUAGAUCUCAUAGUUGCCGAUGAAUCCUUCGUUACUCCUUGACUAGAAAAAGAAAAUUUAGCCACUUAUCACUACGAAUAAUCCAAGCAAUUUUAUUGAUAAAUGUUGCAUGAAUAUUCAACAAAAGCAAAAAACAGGAAAAGGCGGAGAGAAAAGCUCUUCGUUUGGUUUAUGCUUGGUGCCUAGACUAAUAGUCUCUCGGUACCCGAAACAAAGUCUUAAAAUCACGAAGGCCAAGAAUCCCUCCUACUCACGUCACCAACGUUUCCUGCUAUUACUACUACCACUAAUACAUCUAAUCUCCUCUAAUUUUUCUCCGAGAGAAAUAUACCCAUAAUUUAACAAAAGGUAAGUUACUUGUUUCUAAAUACAAAACGAAAACCAAUUAUUUUGGAAAAGGAAACCACUUCACAGAACUUCAAUUUGAAUUGGAAAAUUGCCACGCGCGCCAAAUCUCGAUCUCUUCGAACCCGAGGCUAGAAUUAGGUGCGGUCACACAGAACACACCAAGAAUCUUCAUUAAACCAAUUUUUACUCCUUUUCUUGCCAUAUUCCUGAAAUUAGCAUCAAUUGCCAAAUAUACUUUUUACUCCUUUUCUUGGCCUAUUCCUAAAAUUAGCAUCAAUUCUCAAAUAUAAAUAGAAUCCAUCAAUUAUUACAAUAUUUGGUCAAAAUUAAAGGAAAAUAUUCAUAAAUUUAAUAGCAAUUACAUACCCUAUCACCCUCCACUCUUUACACCCCUUCCCAUCCCCAACUAUCAACCUCAAGAUUAGAACUAUGAACCUGAUAGUGGGGGAGCUCUUAGCCACUGGACCAACCCUACCCAGUGGUAUCAAGCCAAAAGUUUGAAUGAUGAUAAAAUAAUAACAUAAAAUUAUAGGCCUAGCUAUAAUAAUUAGGUUACGUUGGUGUAUAUUUUCACACUGACCUCAUCAAGGACGUGUAAAAACGUGUUCCAUGCUGGUGGACCAUGAUUUUGGUAAUUAGGUCCGGCAUUACCACAAAUUAAUUUAUGGUGUAGAGUAUCACAUUUUUAGGCCUAUAAAUUCAAGGAGUCUGGUUCUCUGCUACCAAGUUUUCGACACUCACCAGUUACAAGUAUCUAUUUCCAUUCUUAUUAGUUAGCUAGCUAGUCCUUUAAGAAGAAAAUGGCCGCAGCCAAAUCUGGUAUUGGCAGUGGACAGGUGAAUAGUGACUGUAUGCCUUGCUAGACUGGAUUUCUUUGUUUUUCAAGUUUGUGUGUGCAUGGUUUUCGGAGUCAACUUAUAAACAACACGUAUAGAAACGUUUGAAAAAGUAUGAGGAGUUGCAAAUUAAAGUAACUUCAACAUUCUUGAGUCGACUUGAUUAGCAAUAUUUUAUGUUUCUAGUUGUCUACAUGCUGCGGUCUCUUGAAUUGUUUGAUAAAUAAGCUUCUUCCGAGCAAUGUCGUUUCUUAUUAAUUGAUUGGUUCGAUUUAGUUUUCUGGUUGUUCCUUUGUUUGAAAGGACUCUAACUGAUUUUGGGAACUCAAUUGUGUUGGGUUUUCUUACUGAAAAAUGUUUGGGGUUUGCAGAAAGACGAACCUAUUAUUCCUAUGGCGUCAACCGUCAAUCCGAACGACGAUGUGGUGAUUCAGAAGGCAAAAUUUGCAGUUGAUAGUUACAAUGGGCAGGCGGGGACCGGUCUGAAAUUCAACAGUGUGGAAUUCGGCUUCUGCUGGAGCGUUUCUGAUGUCACUGACUACCUGCUUGCCAUUAAUACUCAUGAUGAUAAGGGCCCAUAUUGCGACCCAGCAUUGGUUUCUGAUACACUGAAGAGCAAUGCUCACACUUAUGAGCUCAUCUGGUACAAUCAUAAGAAAAAGUAAUCAAGCACUACUCUUGAUCAGCUGAGUGGGGAUCGACGACUUUAAGUACUUUAAUUAUCUAGUGUUUAUGGUGUGGUUUUCAGUUUAUGCAUGGAUGAUGUACUGCUGGCAUGCAAACAUCCUCCCACUGUUGUACUAGUAUGCAAUGUAAGGUGCACUUCUACCAACAAAAAUGCACCGUUAAAUAAAAAAAUCCGUCUGUGUUUGAGUUUGUGUCCUUGUACUAAUAUGUCAAAGGUGCACUUGUACAAACAAAAAUGCACCAUUGAAUAAAUAAAAACAGCUGUACGAGUUUGAGUUUGUAUCUGUGUAUUUUGUUUCUCUGUUACCUGCAAGCAACUAUCAAUCCCUGAGUUUGUAUCUGUGUAUUUUGUUUCUCUGAUAACUAGUUAAGUAUUACUUAAGAUGAAUCCAAACCUUAAAAAGAAAUGAAAGAUUAGUUGAUACAUUGGGAGUAAGACAAGCCGAUGACGUUGUGGUUCUUCUUUGAAGUAUAUUUUGGAUGUUCUUCAUAAAUAUGAAGACUGUUCAGGCCAGCGAGUUAACAAAAAGUUGUUUCUUGACCCAUCAGCGGUUGAAUGUGGCAAGACGACGAGUGAUCAAAACUGUCACUGGGAAUUCAUAUGCAGGCCAUAGCUAAAUUUCCGUUUUUGGAUCUCUGUACAACUGGUACACGUAAAAUUUGUCAGCUAAACUCCGCCACCAAUUGUUCACGAUAUGCAGGAUGGAUGUUCUGGACAAGAAUAUAAAGAUUAAAAAGGGGACUACGAUUAUCAACAAGAAUAAAAUUGGAUUUAGAAAAAACAUGGUUGAUUACUCGUAUGAUUUGUGCCUAAUGAUAAUUACGAAGCAGAAGAAGAAAAAGAAGGGAAAAAAAGAAGAAAGAAAGGGUUGGAUUGUUGCACACACACAUACAUACAUACAUACAUAUAUAUACACACAUGCAUAUAUAUACAUACGUAUAGGGGAGAGGGAUGGGUUGGGUGAUACAGGGGAAAGAAGUGCAAGCGAAGGUCUCGGGUUCGAGUCCUCCUACUUACACUAAAAAAAACAUAUGUAUAUAUCCUUAUACUAUAUAAGAAUGAAUUUAGGGCAAAGAUUUCAAUCCCAAGGAUGGGGCUAUUUUGGAAAUAUGAGAGUAUUUGAGGUGAAAUUGGAAUAUUUAAUAUGAAUCAUUAUAACUGAUUUGGUUUUUUUUUAUAAUUACUUAAAUGUCCUCUCAGACAUUUAAAGCUAUGAGUAAGUUUAACAUGUGACAGUAUUCGAUAUUCAAUUAAUUAUUCGGUACAAUUGAAUUCAGCUUGUGUUUUAGUGAAAUUACAUAAAAAUCCUUUUAAUCAUUUAAUUGUAUUAACAUCUACGUCUCUUAAUUUCUUAAAGCCUUUCUCAACAAUUAUUUGCAAACUUAUGAUAUAUAGAUGUUAAGACACAAGUUUGGUUUCUUGGCCGUUACCAUAGUAACCCCCAUCUAUCCAAAUUCAUUUCAUUUACCUAUAACUUUGUUCCACUACAAUCAUGUAGUCUAUUGAAUUCAGAUGUUGCUAUAUUAGCUACUACUCUUUCCCAUUUUGCAACAUCUUUCUCAAUAGGUUUGUUUUCUUUAGCUAAUCUACUUUUUUGGUUGUAAGAAAUUUGCAAUCUUGUAAGUUGUAUGUGCAAUAAUUUUUUUAGUGUUUUAAUUCAAUUGCCCAUGUUAGAUUGGCUUGAUAGGGAGGAGAUCACAUUUAUUAAUUGUUAUUUGUGGUUUAGAAUAAGUUUGUCAUCAUAAAUUUUUUCAUUAAUAGAUUGCAUCUACUUCUUUUGUUGUUUUAACUAUUAGUUACGAUAAUUUUCAAAUCAUUUGCUACUUUUUUUAUGAUUCCAUUUAGGCAAUUUUUCACUUCAUUUGAUUUGCCAAUAUGUUUAACUAUCUACUUUAAAACUAUUUGGCUGCAAAUCUAAAGUAUGUACUUCAUUACUUUUAAUUUUUUUCUUGAAUUGAGUGGGUUAAGAUGUUUUAGUACUUUUUUGAGGUAAUUAUUCAUCUAGAUUAGCGUGUUAGUUAUUGUAUAUCUUUGCAACUAGGUCAAAAACUGAUGUUUUGUGAUUGUAACCCCUAUCGAGAAAGAGAUGCUUUGCUAUAUGUCCUAAAUCAUACAAUAAAUCAUAAUUAAUUGAUUUGUCAAUGUGGAGCUUUCAUGAUGAUAUGUCAUUGGAAUCAAUAUAAAUCCAAGAAUUUGGCUUGCAAGAACCGAAAUUCCACUAGCAAUGAUUUCUUCAAGUAUGCUAAUUUUUCAAAUCUCACUUAUAUGACAAGAUAAUGAGGUAGACUGCCCUCAAAUCAAGAUCAAAUUCAAACUUAACGACAAAAUUUAACAUCCCUAAAAUGCAUGAGUAGAUAUAAGUAGAUCUUUUAUUCUAUUAGAUUAGACGCAAAGUGAUUAAUCGUAUUUUAUAAUUAUAUUUUGUUGCAUAUUAUUUUUUUCACUCAAUAUGUAAUUUAUGAUUUUUCUAUUUAAUAUCACAUAAUAAAAUUGUCAUACUUCAAUUCUUAUGCUACAAAAUACUAAAUAAUAAUUAUUAACUAUCUUUACUUAAUACUAAAUAAAAAUUUUUCCCCUAGUAUAUAUAUAUAUAUGUGUGUGUGUGUGUGUUAACGAGGCUACAUUCAAAUUUAAAUUAGGAUGAUGUGCCAUGUAUCCAAAUUAAAUCUACUAAUGUAUAUAAUGAUAACGUGGUAGAUAUAUAUUUUUUUUUAAAAAGCAUUUUUCUUGAGAUAUAAAGUAUGCAGCCUUCUUUAUCCUGAAAGUAAGAUCACUAUUUUGUGGAUGAGGGCAGUCCAAAUGGGCGGGUCAAGUGGUUGCCUGAAUUUAAUUAGGUACCAGGUGCAGAUAGGUGGACCAUAAAACCCCAUUUAAUUAAUGGGUUUGGUAGGGUUAUGUAAACGUCUUUUUAGUCAAUGAAAGCUUGACUACGACCCAUUCAUAAUUUUUGGUUACUCUCACUCGACCCGUUAACUUCUGUCCAAGCUCAGGCUGCAUUUCUUAGGCAUCCAGCUUAAAACCCCAAAUUAAAAAUUAAAGACCACCUGGUAAUUUCCCUUUGGUUCUCAAUGCAGGUGGAUGUAAUGGGCUUUGAGGAUAUUUUAACUUUUAAUUUUGGAUAUUUUAACAUUUAAUGUCCCCAAAACCCAGCAAACCUGGAAAGAACAUUAAACAUGUAAUUUUGAUGUCUGUAAUUUGACUAUCAGUACUUCAUAUUAAUGGAAUCAUAUCUUAAUAUAUUUAGACUGUUUCAUAAUAAAAAUUGAACAUUUAAAUUAAUUAAAUGACACUAAAUUUUCUAGGUAAAAUUUGUGAUUGCAUGUUUGUGAUUGGCCACUAUAGACAUGCCCUUAGUGCUUGUAUUAAACUAAAAAGAGAUAUACAACCGUGCACUAGAUAAAUAAACAUAUUUAAUCUAAUUAUGAGAGUAAGUUAGCAGUUGUAUGACGCAAUUAUAUCACCUAAGAUCUUAAAGGGUUUAAUUAAAUACUUAUGAUCUCGAGAGAGACAUGCGAUUUAAUUAAGCAUAACUUAGGUAUAUCUAGAGAUAAUCUAAGGUAUUUGCGUGUAAUACAUUGUUGGCAUGUUGGGAAAAAUAAUGGGAUGAUUAAUUUAAAUUUUGCAUAAAAAUCUAAAACCCUAGACUCUUGCAAACCAUUUUCUCAACUCUAUUUAAUUUGCCUUGAUUAUUUGUUCAUUUUUUUUAGUUAUAGAUUGAAACCCCUAUGAAUUUGAAUUUUAUUAUUUGUCUAGAAUAAUUAAAGUAGAGAAAAUUAACUCGUUCAUCUAGAUUCUAUUUUGGAAUACUACAGGUAAUUUAUUACUACAAUCGAUCCUAUGUGCUUACAGGAAUUCAUUGAUCAAAAUGCAGUGUUGGCAUCACCCUCUUUCAACCAUUUGACUCUCGAUUUAUCCUUAUAAAAGCUCUCCUCAACUUGCAUCCUCAUUCAUAGUCUGUAUAUGAUUUUGCUUUCUCAAUAUAAAUUUUGGCCAACACAAUUCCAAAAAGUUCCUAAAUGUCCCCAACACGGUUGGUGAAAAGCCCCAAAAGUCCUUAUAGUUACCUUCUAAACUCAAUGUAAUAUCACUGCAGCUAAGCCUGUAGAGGUUUUACAAAUAUAUGAUUUUGAGUUUAGCUUAAGUCUAUCAAUAAAACGAUAAAGAAUAUAUUAAAAUCUUUGGUUAUCCUCCUUAUUUUGAACAUUAUAAAUGUUGUUAUUAUUUAUUAUGAGUUUACUAUAAAAAUUUAAAGAAGUAAAAAAUUAUAAAUUCAUAAAUUAGUGAACUAAAGAUUCCCUCUUUGAAGAAAAUAAAUUACUUAAGUCCUAUUGCAAGAUUUACCAGAAAAAGAACUCUAACAAGGAGAGUAUAUGCCGAGUUACUAAAAGCAUAGACAAAUAAAAAGGACACAAGGAUCAGGAAAACAUCUUUGUUUGGAUAUGAAGUUAUUUGCAACAAUAAAAAAAAAAAAUUAAUUGCAUCAUAAAUCCGUUUUCUAAUUAUCUUUUUAUCUUUCUAGCCACCUUUUUAAUCUCAUAUCUAUCAUAUCACAAAGAGUGUUACGAUGUUAUUCCAAAAUAUUAUUCCAAAUAAUUUCCUAUUCGUACGCACUCAAAUAGUUCAAUCUUCAAUAAAUUAUGCAUUACCCUAUAUGCAGAUUCCUAGAUUACAACAUAAACCCCAAUUUUAGAUUCUUUUCUUCUUUCAUCCUUUCAAGUUCUUGAGUUGCACCACAUCUUUUAACUACUGUUGUAAUUUCUCAAGUUUCUAAUCAUCGCUUUGUUAGUCCACCAUUUCACUUCCAAUUGAUCUUGUUCAUUUUACCCUACAAAACAAAGAGAUUUUGCGAGUAAAAUGACAAAAUCAUAGUUAAUUCAUCUAUCAACUUAAGGUGCAAAUCAAAGACUAAAAUAAGCAACUUGCACCAUUUAACUUCACAAAUUGACUCAAAAACAAUAUAAAGCACCUACAGAAAUAUCCACAACUUGAGCUUAUAUCAGAAACGAACACUUUUUAUACUUCUGGCAUGGUUCUUAUAGAAUGAGUAGCGUAGUUUCGUUAAUUGGCAUGCAUAAUGGCUGUUUUUGAACAUUCGAAUCUACAUUAUCUUCACAAUAGAUUGUCGUAUUUCCAAAAUGAGAAAGCUGCUUUCUUUCAUUCGGUUCAAUACAUUUUUUGAUUGUUGGCAACAAAGUUUUGCAAUUUGGCAUUGAAACACAACUUCUUGACGUUCUCUUGCUUUUAUUGUGUAAAAAUGAUUACAAACCAAUGGAAUUUCCAUUUAAAAAUUUAAUAACCAAUUAAGAAAAUGACUUGCUCUUUUGGUGUAAUUGUUAAUCAUCUUCUUUUACAUCAACUCAUUAAGAAAUACAUGAAAUCAAAUACAAAAUGCAUAUUCAAGCUGAAAGUUUUUUUUUUAUUUAUUUUAACCCUCCCUCCCUUCUCCACACUCCAUCCCAUCCCCAACUGUCAACUUCAGGAUUCAAACUAUAAACCUGGUAGCUCUUAGCCAUUGGACCAAUCUUGCCUAGUUGCAUCAAGCCAAAAGUGGGAAGGAUGGUAAAAUAAUACGAUAAAAUUACAGGCUUAGCUAUAGUAAUUAAGGUUACGUUGGUGUAUAUUUUCACGCCGACCUCAUCAUGGACGUGUAAAAACGUGUUCCAUGCUGGUGGACCAUGAUUUUUGUGAUUCGGUCCUACAUCAUCACAAAUUACUUUAUGGGGUACAGAAUCACAUUUUUAGGCCCAUAAAUACAAGGAGUCUGGUCCUCUGCGACCAAGUUUUCGAUAGUCGCAAGUUUUCGAUAGUCACCAGUUACAAAUAUCUAUUUCCAUUCUUAUUAGUGUUUGAGUUUGUGUCCUUGUACAAGUAUGUCAAAGCUGCACUUAUACGAGUAAAAUGCACCAUUAAAUAAAUAAAAACAGCAGUCUGUGUUUGAAUUUGUAUCUGUGUAUUUUGUUCCUCUGUUACUUGCAAGCAAUUUUCAAUCCCUGAGUUUUGUGUGUCAACUAGGUACUAUAUUCAUGACUAGUUAUGAAGUCUAAUAACUAGUUAAGUUUUACUUAAAAUGAAUCCAAACCUGAAAAAAAAAAAAAAAGAUUAACUGAUAAACAAGCUCUAGUCAAGGAUAUAAUUUCGGAAGUGAUUCAUACACCUGCUCAUUAAUGCAAUAAUUAUUUCAUUUAUUUGUUAAUAAACAGGUUAAAGUUGCCAAACAUGUGAUGAUAACCAACUUUUCCUUAAUAUCUCGAUAGUUAAUGUACAUUCAUUAACUACUUUCCUAAUCAAGAAACAACUCUAGGUACGUCCGUAUAAUUUAAUUUAUUGAUUGCAUUAAAAACUAGAAAAGUAAUGUUUUAAUCAAUAAACACACUAUUGGAGUUUAUUUAAAUUAGAUCAUAUGUUUCUCUAACAUGAAACCAAUCACAUUAGUCACCACUAAUUUAAGACAAUUAAACAAUUAAGAAUUUAACUAUCCUAACUAUCAUUAGAUUGUUAAGUUGAAUUAAAUAUCAAACACUCAUGACAUUCAAACAAUCAAACAAUCAUGAGAAAUUAAAUAAAAAAACAUACGAAUACUAACGAAUAAAAGAAAUAGAUAAAAACAAUUAGAUCUCAUAGUUGCCGAUGAAUCCUUCGUUACUCCUUGACUAGAAAAAGAAAAUUUAGCCACUUAUCACUACGAAUAAUCCAAGCAAUUUUAUUGAUAAAUGUUGCAUGAAUAUUCAACAAAAGCAAAAAACAGGAAAAGGCGGAGAGAAAAGCUCUUCGUUUGGUUUAUGCUUGGUGCCUAGACUAAUAGUCUCUCGGUACCCGAAACAAAGUCUUAAAAUCACGAAGGCCAAGAAUCCCUCCUACUCACGUCACCAACGUUUCCUGCUAUUACUACUACCACUAAUACAUCUAAUCUCCUCUAAUUUUUCUCCGAGAGAAAUAUACCCAUAAUUUAACAAAAGGUAAGUUACUUGUUUCUAAAUACAAAACGAAAACCAAUUAUUUUGGAAAAGGAAACCACUUCACAGAACUUCAAUUUGAAUUGGAAAAUUGCCACGCGCGCCAAAUCUCGAUCUCUUCGAACCCGAGGCUAGAAUUAGGUGCGGUCACACAGAACACACCAAGAAUCUUCAUUAAACCAAUUUUUACUCCUUUUCUUGCCAUAUUCCUGAAAUUAGCAUCAAUUGCCAAAUAUACUUUUUACUCCUUUUCUUGGCCUAUUCCUAAAAUUAGCAUCAAUUCUCAAAUAUAAAUAGAAUCCAUCAAUUAUUACAAUAUUUGGUCAAAAUUAAAGGAAAAUAUUCAUAAAUUUAAUAGCAAUUACAUACCCUAUCACCCUCCACUCUUUACACCCCUUCCCAUCCCCAACUAUCAACCUCAAGAUUAGAACUAUGAACCUGAUAGUGGGGGAGCUCUUAGCCACUGGACCAACCCUACCCAGUGGUAUCAAGCCAAAAGUUUGAAUGAUGAUAAAAUAAUAACAUAAAAUUAUAGGCCUAGCUAUAAUAAUUAGGUUACGUUGGUGUAUAUUUUCACACUGACCUCAUCAAGGACGUGUAAAAACGUGUUCCAUGCUGGUGGACCAUGAUUUUGGUAAUUAGGUCCGGCAUUACCACAAAUUAAUUUAUGGUGUAGAGUAUCACAUUUUUAGGCCUAUAAAUUCAAGGAGUCUGGUUCUCUGCUACCAAGUUUUCGACACUCACCAGUUACAAGUAUCUAUUUCCAUUCUUAUUAGUUAGCUAGCUAGUCCUUUAAGAAGAAAAUGGCCGCAGCCAAAUCUGGUAUUGGCAGUGGACAGGUGAAUAGUGACUGUAUGCCUUGCUAGACUGGAUUUCUUUGUUUUUCAAGUUUGUGUGUGCAUGGUUUUCGGAGUCAACUUAUAAACAACACGUAUAGAAACGUUUGAAAAAGUAUGAGGAGUUGCAAAUUAAAGUAACUUCAACAUUCUUGAGUCGACUUGAUUAGCAAUAUUUUAUGUUUCUAGUUGUCUACAUGCUGCGGUCUCUUGAAUUGUUUGAUAAAUAAGCUUCUUCCGAGCAAUGUCGUUUCUUAUUAAUUGAUUGGUUCGAUUUAGUUUUCUGGUUGUUCCUUUGUUUGAAAGGACUCUAACUGAUUUUGGGAACUCAAUUGUGUUGGGUUUUCUUACUGAAAAAUGUUUGGGGUUUGCAGAAAGACGAACCUAUUAUUCCUAUGGCGUCAACCGUCAAUCCGAACGACGAUGUGGUGAUUCAGAAGGCAAAAUUUGCAGUUGAUAGUUACAAUGGGCAGGCGGGGACCGGUCUGAAAUUCAACAGUGUGGAAUUCGGCUUCUGCUGGAGCGUUUCUGAUGUCACUGACUACCUGCUUGCCAUUAAUACUCAUGAUGAUAAGGGCCCAUAUUGCGACCCAGCAUUGGUUUCUGAUACACUGAAGAGCAAUGCUCACACUUAUGAGCUCAUCUGGUACAAUCAUAAGAAAAAGUAAUCAAGCACUACUCUUGAUCAGCUGAGUGGGGAUCGACGACUUUAAGUACUUUAAUUAUCUAGUGUUUAUGGUGUGGUUUUCAGUUUAUGCAUGGAUGAUGUACUGCUGGCAUGCAAACAUCCUCCCACUGUUGUACUAGUAUGCAAUGUAAGGUGCACUUCUACCAACAAAAAUGCACCGUUAAAUAGAAAAAUCCGUCUGUGUUUGAGUUUGUGUCCUUGUACUAAUAUGUCAAAGGUGCACUUGUACAAACAAAAAUGCACCAUUGAAUAAAUAAAAACAGCUGUACGAGUUUGAGUUUGUAUCUGUGUAUUUUGUUUCUCUGUUACCUGCAAGCAACUAUCAAUCCCUGAGUUUGUAUCUGUGUAUUUUGUUUCUCUGAUAACUAGUUAAGUAUUACUUAAGAUGAAUCCAAACCUUAAAAAGAAA
rnacentral:lncRNA from 1 species